rnacentral:lncRNA from 1 species
CAGCGGAAGUGCAGGGUACAGCCUCAAAGUUUCUGUGAGUGUGGCAUGAAGGUAGUGCAUUCGGCCAAGCACCGGAUCAGUUAUUCUUUCCACGAAUUCAUCUGGGUUAGCUUCACUUGGCUGAUCUCCAAUCACUUCCUUUAUUUCGUCGACAAUCUUUUGCUGCACCAGGGGGUUUUUACAGAGCAUGUAGAGGAACCAUGAUAAGGUAUUUGCACUAGUGUCUUUUCCCGCAAUCAUGAAAUUCAGAAUUAUAUCCCUCAAGUACUUCUCGUUCAUAUUCUUGGGAUCUUUCUCGCACUCGAGCAAAAAUCUGGAGAGAAUGUCCUCCUUGUCAUUCUUGUAGGAAAAAGAUGGGAAAAGAAAACAUCAACCGGGAGAAUUGCCAAAGAAAAAUCCUCUAAAAAGUAGUAUGACUUUGUCAUGAAAACAAUCUUUAGAUGGUGCCACAAGUUUUUCUAUUCAGAAUUCUUCCUCUGAAAAUAGUUCUUCAGCUUCUACAGAAUCCUUCCAGUAUUCUUGUUAUUAAAAUCUUCCGCAGUAUCACAUGCCAUAAUGCCUCUUCCUAAUUUGAGUAGUGGCUUGACAAAAAAAUUGAACAGCUAAACGCAUACUAAGUACUUACAAUUUACACAUUUACUAAUAAAAUUUUAAAAAGUACUCACCAGUUCUCGCCGCACUGCGAGUUGAUUCCUCUUAAUCUUGAUAAGUUGAUGCACAAAAUUGUCCAUGAGUUUAAUGUCAUUCCUAAGACAAGCUUCUGAACCGAUGUUGAGAAGUCUUUUGAGUUCCCAAGAAGGAUCGAUGUAUCGCCAGUAGGUUAGUGCAUUCGCCUCAUCAAAAGCUUUCAUGAAGGCUCUUCCCUCUUUGCUUGAUCCUUCCAAGCAGUUCAAUUCCGCACCGAAUCCAACUUUAAAGAUGGAAUCCAAAGUGCACCUCAUCAAUAUAUCCUACACACAAGAUUGAAGACAAUAUGAUGAGCAAACAAAUGUACAGUGUCCUCUCACCCUCUUUGCUACUGUAAAGACCAUUAUCAGGAAAUGUCCUUUCUUGUACUGUGAUGGUUGCCAUAUAUAUAUCAUGGUCACUCUUAUCGUUGAGUGACCCCAACAGUUUUCGUCUAUCCUAGGUUUCUCUUCGAGACUAGCUAUAUCUAAUCCCUCUUUAGAUUGCAUACAUAUCCAAUCAUUUUCAGACAAAGGUACAUAUCUAUUAAAUCCGGAUGACCAACUCCAGUAUAGUUCGAUAUUCAGUCAGAAAUAUGCAGUCUUUUCCAUUCACCUUAUGUUUCUUUCAGAGUGGUAUUGAUCAUCGUGGAGUUCUCGCCAUUCAAAAAUUGAAACUACUCACUUGCAUGUCGAAUCCCUCUGAAGCAGCCGAUAACUCCUCCACGACCUUGACCAGCUUUGCAGCAUUCUUCCUGAACACGCAACAACUAAAAUCUCUGAGCACCCUUGUCGCAAACUCAAAGCUCGCGACCUUCCUUUGCUUCUUCCACUUCUCUCCAUCCACCACGAAAAUCCCCUCCCCGAACAAAUCCUUCAGUAUAUCUAUGUCAAACUUUCCCCUCGUGUAAUUAUCAAAGUUGGUCUUUACCAUGUGCUCAAUGUUCCUUGGAUCGGUUGUGUAGAUCUGACUCCGGUCUGGUGCGAGGAGCCGGAACGUCGGAGAUAUCCUCGCGACUUCAGUCAGGUAGUCGUAGAGCCGGUUGAAGUUGAAGAGUUGAGCGAAGACUGUCCCACGAACGGGCGGAUACUUAGAAUCCCAGAGGGACUUGCCGGUGAAGGUUCUCAGGAGGAGGAGCGCACAGGCGAGGAAGAGCACAACUGGAACGAACGCCAUGGAGUAGAGCAGCACGGACAUAAUAUUGAUGUCCAUUUUUGUGUGUGAAGAAGAUGGAAGGUAACGAGGAUGAAGAAAAAGUAGAUGAUAUCCUUGCCUUGGUUCACGUCUCAAGACUCUUUUGACUUUAUCCAUUUGUUUACUUAGCAUAUAUGUAGGUUUUAAUGAUGUGGCAAGAAAGAUUAAAUUAGUGCUUGUGAUUGAGAUGUGGUUAGUUGGGAAGCAGAGAUUACGCACGCGUAGGAAAUGAUGGGCAAGCUUUGGUUUGAUCUGUGUGUUGUGGGGAAAGUUUGAGAUCUUGGAAGUGGUCGGCGAGGCGAGCCGGCCAACAAAAUAAUUAUUAAAAAAUCAAAUAAAAAAUAUUAUUAAAAAUUUAUUCACGUUAGCAUCGGCUAGACAAUUGGCCAUGUCGACACCAAUUGGUAAAAACUGUCAAUACUAGCCGGCCAAAAAUUUUCACAUUAGCGGUAGCUGAACAAUUGGUCAUGUUAGUGCCAAUUGGCCAAAAUUGUUAACGUUAAACAGUUGGCCAUAUCAAAUUGAUUAGAUGGAUUAAAAUGAUACAAAUACAAAAAGUUUAGGAUUGAAUUGAUAAGAAAAAAAAAUUAUAAUUGAGUUGAUACAAUUAUAAUAAGUGUAAGACUUUUUUGAUAAUUCUCCCUAUAAAAUUAGGAGAAGGAAUUCCUACUUUCUCAAAAGAUGAAAUCAUUUCCCAAACAUAACAACUCUCUUAACAAACACUCACUUCUUACCUUUUUCAAUGUCAGUUAAUUUAAAUGAGAUUUAAACACUCGAAAAUGUUUUCAAAUAAUACACUUUCAGUAUAUCAUUAAAAAAAUGAAAAUUAUCAAUUUUUUUAGAUGAUUUCCACAAAAAAAAACCUUUAUCAUAAAUUUUUAACCGGAACAGACACAUCCUAAGAAAGAACCACCCCACGAGAGUCAAUUUUCUGGAGUUUCUUGAGUCGUGGUUAAGCUAUUAAAACUAAACUUCAUAAUAUGAUUGUUUUCCUUUUUUGCUGAACCCCUGCCCCGCCUGGGAGAUGCGAGAUCGUACAAAGAAUGCUUUUCAAGGGUUUCACUUCCAACUAGGUGAACUUGAACCACUUCGAAGUUGGUAUUAUCACCAUGAAUAAAAAAUACAAAUAUAUUUUCAUUUGACGGUAUUUAUAUUUAAUUUUAUCUAGGCACGUUGAGAUAGUAUACAUUACGAAAUCACAUUGUAAGCAUCGAAAGUCAACUGACGACAUCUUUCGGUUAAUAGAUGAUUAAAACUCCAUUUAUUUUACGGAAAACAACUUUCGGUAAAAUAUUUUAUAAGUUUUUCUGUGUUCCUUUUGCAAAAAAAAAAAAAAAAAAAAAUGAAUUGGUCAAGAAAAACAUUUUCGAUUGACGGAAAAUGUCUUCUAACAAAUGGGAAAUUAUUUUCCACUUUAUCUUCUUUCUUUCACUUUUAAACCAAGUUUUUUUUUUUACCAAACACUUUUUCCUUUUAUUUUUUUUAUAAAAAUCGCACUUUUAAUCAUUUGAAAUUUUUCCUUUCCUUUUUUUCCUUUUUCUUUAAUCGGUUGCUGGCCACAACAACAACCGACCACUUGCCAUAGGUAAGCUCAAGCUCUACCUAGCUCGUCAAAUAUGGUGAGGCUGGAGCUCAUUGGCUACAAGCAACCCUAGCCUUAUUGGAUCAAAUCGGACUCAACCUAGUCGGUAUCUCUAAAGCUAGAGUCUACUUGAGCUCACUGGUAGCCGAUUGUUGGUUGUCAUCGUUGUCAGCUGUGGAAGAAGAAGAAGAAGAAAAGAAGAAAGAAAUGCAAAAAUAAAAUAAUUAAAAAUUGAUUUUAAAAAAAUAAAAUAAUAUAAAAACUAUUGAAAGAAGUGUAUGAAGGAAAAGAUUUUUCUUAACAAACAGGAGAAAAUAUUUUUCACUUCAUUAAGGUUUCAAUCAAACAUUAAAAAAAAAUAGUCAUUUUUCUAAAAAAUGUCUUCUUAAAAAUAUUUUUUUUGAAACAUCUGUAUUUAUUUUGCGAAAUAAAUGGAGCCUUAAAGAGCUAAAAUAAAUCAAGAGCCGGUGGUCCCAAUGCAAUUUUAUAGGACAAACUUUGUUGCUCAUCUUUUCUUCACCAUGCCCAAAAGGGCCACCAAAAUCGACUGAGGGGUGACAUGGAAAGCAAUUAGAAACUAUGGGGGUCAAUCUCAAAUGAAUGAAACAUUAGGGACCAUCGCCAGAAUUACACGGAAAACAUAGGACCAACAAUCAAUUUUCCCAUUUUUGAGAGAGAGAGACGGUGGGAAAAAGGAAAAUCUCAAAUAAGAACCCAAAAUAAGCCUAUUUUUUUCAAUAAGGACCCAAAGUGACCGUUGUCCCAAAUAAAUACCAAAAGUGGCUAACAAGUCUCAAAUAAGGACCUGAACUUGCCGGUUGGCCAAAAUGUUCACCGGCCGGCGAGAGUGUGACAUUUCCGGUUGUCGCGACCUACCCUCGGGGGUAGGGAACAGGUUUAGGGUUAUUGCCUAAAGAAUGGACCUAAGACCCAUGAUUAGGCGUGGGCUCUCCCAACCCCAUACCUCGCUUGACGUUGAGAUAUUCUUAAGAAAUUUUGCACAAAAGGAGUCACCACUAGCCUAUUAGGGUUGGCUAGAAACCAAGUGAGGCAUGAGAGUGUACCUCACUUCCUCCACAACCAGCGAAUCUAUGGUCGGAGACUUGAUUACACUAAUUGACUAAUUAAUGCUCUUUCGGUACCUAAUUUUGUUCAUUUUAAAAUAAAUUAUUUUUGUCAAGCAAUUUGAAUUAAUUAUAUACCUAUCCUAACAUGCGAGGUGAUCAUGCGAGUGCGCAAUCAUUAAAGUAACAAUCAUAGCUACCAAGAUCUUAAUUACAAUAAAAUUAAACACGUGCAAUUAAACAUAAUUAGAUAUGCAAAUUAAACAUAUGACAUCAUCAAUAUGUGAGCAAAUAAAUGUCUAAUUACACUAAGAAAGCAAGAUAUAGCAAUUCCUAAUCAAACCCCAUCAUUUUUUAAUUUUUGAAAUUUUUAAAUUUUGAAAUUUUUUUUUAAUAAUUUUUUUAAAAAAUUUAAUAUUUUUUUCAGAUUUUCGAAGUUGUUUUUAUUUUAAAAUAAAAUAAUUUUUUUGAGACUGGACCGGGUCCGAGCCGAGGGAGAAAGGAAGAUGGGCCGGCUCACGCCUGGGCCCUCGUGAGGGGGAAAAAGGAAAAAGGGGCGGGCGGCGAGCCGGGCCUUUAGGCAUUUUUUUAUGUUUUUUUUUCUCUUUUUUUUUUGUUGUUUUGUUCUUUUUUUUCUUUUUUAGUGACUAAUUCAUAAUCUUGUAUGCGAUUGAGUCAUGAAUACAAUAGUAAAAUUUAUGUGUCAACACCAGUGGCUGGAAUAUGGGCAAUUUUGUCCAAAAAAAUAUAGAUAGAAAUUAACAAACCCUAAAAACCACCCCCAAACUCUUCACAUUCUUUUGACCUAAAAAUAAAAACUCUUCAUGUUCUCACGUUUUUCUUCUUAUGCUCUUCAAAUUCUCCGUUAUUUGUCCUCUUUCGCGAGCACGGAAAUUUUCUGUUAAUGGAACACAAAUUGAAAUACAAGAAGAAAUCUAUACCUUCGUUUCUUCACAUCUUCUUCUUUUGUUUUCUGUCUUUGUUUCUUUCUACGAAGAAGACAAAUAUUGAGUAAAGCCACCUUUUCGUUAUUGAGACACUCGUGUGUGACACGAGCGCCUCGAUUCUUCAUUAUCUUUUCCUAGGUUCGCCAUACACUUUGAUUUACACUCUCGUUCAACUGAGGUUAGUUUCGUUCAAAUUGAAAGUGAGGGAGGGAGGGAGGGAGGGAGGGAGGGCACGUACCUUUGGAACUCAAGGAGACAGGGAUCUUGCUCCAUCAACAGAGAAUUUGGGUUUCUCCAAACGAGAGGAGACAAAGAACGUAAACAAUGAAGAGCAAAAGAAGAAUGUGAAGAGUUUGAGGGUUUUAUUUUUAGGAUUUGUUAAUUUCUAUCUAUAACCUUUUGGGACAAAAUGCCACCGGAAAUGUCACACGCUCGCUGGCCGAUGAACAUUUUGGCCAGCCGGUAGGUUCAAGUCCUUAUUUGAGACUUUAGCCACUUCGGAUCCUUAUUUGGAACAAUGGUCAUUUCAAGUCAUUAUUUGAGAAAGUAAGCUCACUUUGGGUCUUCCCAUGGGAAAAUGGAGGAGGCGGAGAGCGGGGAACCACAAGGCGACUCACUGUGGGGCCACCGCCAUCCCCCCUCCACCCCGACGUCUCCCAGGCUGACAAUGCAUUGCCUUUCCAAGCUUCUCAUCUCCUUCACUCCUUCUCGACCUCCGAGCGUGGCAUGCAAUUUUCCGCAUCAUGGAUGACGCCUUGAUUGACUUCAGUCUCCAUGUUUCGUCAACACCCUUUUCAAGCUAGUGAUGAUGGUAGUAUGUACACACUUGAGAUCGUCAUUUGGGCGAACAUGAUGAAAUGUGUGGCUCGUACCAGCAGGAGGUCGUUCUGCUACUUCUGUGGGAGAUCUAUUCUUGAAAUGUCUAAAGCGAGAACGAGAGAUUGAGUUCUAGAAUGACAGAAGGUUCAGUGAAGCGAUGUACUUGCGCUGGAACCCGUCAUGGUAUAAUUACAGCAUUCGGAGAAAGCGGUCGUUUUCACUUGGCAUUGGCCAUUAUGUAAUUCUCCUACAGUAUAGGAAUCACGGUCGGAAAAGGGACAUGUUGGAAUCAAUUGCUGUCAUUUUAGACAGAUUUCUGCUUUAGAAAAAGUGUAAUCUUUUUGGAACUACAGGAGAUAAAAGUAUUUCAAUGUCGUUUACGUGAGAUCCCUAGUCUUGCUCAAAAUAGCAUUCUCUUUGCCGUGAGUUCUGAAAAUUUACAAGCAGUAACAAUCUGUACCUGUUGAAUCGGGCCUGUGCAUGUAGUGAAUAUUUGGGAUGAAAUCCAUAGUCAAAAAUGCAAGAGCUAGUAGAUACAUGGCAGGGACUCAUGGUAGUUCCAAGAUGAGCUUUUUUGCAUUUACCUCAUCCAGACUGUCUUCCUAUGAUCUUAGGCAUAGAGAAUCGAGGAAAAAGAAACAGGAGAAGGCCAGUGCUGAGAAUGGCAUGUACUUUCCCAGAGAUGAGAAGGUCAAAUUUGGAGAGGCUGUCUGAAGCUCUGCUCAAAUUGGCCAUGAUCCCUAAAGUAGUGUUCUAUGUUUUGCUGGUCAAUCGACUAAUGGUGUAGAUUCUGAAAUUAGCUGUUUCAUUCCCCCCCCCCCCCCCCCCCCCCCUGCCCAUUUAAUUCGUUUCAUUUUGAUUUGGGUGAAGGCAUGAAGACCCCGCAAAAUGUAUCCAACAGCAACUUUGUUUACUGGCCAUUGAGGUGUAGCAAAAUCGCUAAGUAUGGGCAGCCAGGCCCAGCAGACGACUUCCUUUGAAAAUAGGUUCUUCAUUAUCAUUGUGACCUUCUUUAGAGCACUACUUUGGCCAUAUGUUUUUAGGCAAAUCAUAAUGGUAUUCUGUAUUUCUAAUUUGGCUUAUUAUAAUUUUAGUUUUGAGAGAUCUAGUUUUGUCAUGGGAUAUCUAAUUCCUUGCAUUGCAGGAGGAGAACCAUUCUUCUUUGCCUAAUUUUGUGAUAGUUUUUUUUCAUUUAACCAAAUGCUUUACUCCACAUAACAGGAAAACUUGUUCUCAGUAUAUAUUCUUAUGAAUAUUCUAGCUCAGCCGAAGCCAAUUACCUGAUUAUCAGAUUGGUAUGUCAAUGAUAUAAUGAAUUGCCCAAUGGCUGAUUAUUGAAUGAGCUGGAAAGCCAUUUUAGUUCUAGGGACAUAUCAGCUUGUUGGCCUCUCAGAAGCUUUAUGAAAAUAAGAUUUUAUUGGCAUUGUCACAAAGCCUGAUGAACUUAUAUUACACACUGAAUAUAAGCAAAACACAUUAAUAUUCCAAUCUUUAUAUCCAGUAGUAAGAUCAUGGAGUGCACAUGCUUACUUAUCGGUGAAAACUGCUAGCAUCCACCAUUAGAAAUCCAUGUCUCAAUGGGCUAUACUCAACGAUGGUCCAACUCUUACUUAAGCCAAUCUGGGAACAGCAUGAAGAUGUAAGCCAUUGUCAAUGUGAAGGGUGAACAUGACCUUGUAGGUCACAGGUCUAGUUUCAUCAGCUAAUCUGAAACGGAAGAAGCGAAGGAGAGCUACUGAAACUAUCUUCAUCUGGCGGUAAGCGAAAUCCUUUCCAAGGCAGAUCCUAGGACCAGCCUGCAAAUAGGAAAGUAGGUUUGUCACUGAAGAUGCUUGGUAUAUGUACACACACUUUGAACAUUCAAUUCAUGAGGACUUGGGAUAAAGAAACGAACAUGGAAUGCAACAAAUUUGAAAGGUGAUUCAUUUUGGAAAAUUCCAUCCUUCAACCAUCUUUCAGGUUUGAAAUCCUCAGCAUCUUCUCCCCAGACGUUAUGCAUUCUUGCCAUUGAGUAAGCCAAGUAAGUAACGGUGUCCCCUGCUUUCACGUGGAAGCCAUCUGGGAGAACAUCAUCUGUCUCGGCACAUCUGCUAUCCUGUAGUGCAGAAGUGUGAAAGAUCAAAGUUAGCAUGUAUUGAUACAAAAGCUGAAGCUUGUUAAAUGCAUGUUCUCUUUGGCUUGUGCUUGCUUUGUAAUUGCCAAUCUGAUGGAUUUCUAGCAUCUUCUGUGUUGCUGAUCAUGUUUUGUUCAGAAGAAUAUUGACUCUUCUGCGAGGCAUUUGACAUUUGAAUACAAUUUAAGGACUAGUUGCAUGAUGGCAAUGCAGUAAGGGUAGCACUAGUAUUUGUUCGUAAAUUUAGAGAUGAGUGAAAAGCUAGCAUUUGAUCUGUGGUGGAAAAAUGUGAGCUCUAUAGUUGUUUAAUGGGAAUUAAAGGAUUCCCGAACAUGCACUUAAGCAAAAUUUUCAGUCUGUCAUAAAUACAGGUGGAUGAUGCAUCGUAGCUUCUAAAGUCUGGAAAAUCAUGAUGUCUUGUGGUGCAACUCCAGUGGCAAUUUACUCAGACCCAUUGUGAUUCAAUGAUGUGUUGAUGAAUUUAUUUGAGUUCAUAAUAUCUCGAGUUAAUUUUGAACUUUUUGUUUUCUUUUUCUGUGAUCAGUUUGGGAUUUGAACUUCAAAUCUUACAAGUAAACAGUAGAUUACCUGUGGGACUGCAGGAUACAGCCUCAAAGUCUCUGUGAGUGUGGCAUGAAGGUAGUGCAUUUGGCCAAGCACCGGAUCAGUUAUUCUUUCAACGAAUUCAUCUGGGUUAGCUUCACUUGCCUGAUCUCCAAUAACUUCCUUUAUUUCGUCCACAAUCUUUUGCUGCACCAGGGGGUUUUUACAGAGCAUGUAGAGGAACCAUGAUAAGGUAUUUGCACUAGUAUCUUUUCCCGCAAUCAUGAAAUUCAGAAUUAUAUCCCUCAAGUACUUCUCGUUCAUAUUCUUGGGAUCUUUCUCGUGCUCGAGCAAAAAUCUGGAGAGAAUGUCCUCCUUGUCAUUCUUGUAGGAAAAAAAUGGGAAAAUGAAACAUCAGCCGGGGGAAUUGCCAAACAAAAAACCUGGAAAGUAGUAUGACUGUCAUGAAAACAAUCUUAAGAUGGUGCCACAAGUUCUAUUCAGAAUUCUUCCUCUCAAAAUGGUCCUUGAGCUUCUACAGGAUUCUUCCAUUGUUCUUGUUAUUAAAAUUUUCCGCAACAUCGCAACAUCACAUGCCAUAAUGUAUCUUCCUAACUUGAGUAGUGGCUUGACAAAAGAAGAGCACAAACUUCAAAAAAUCGAACAGCUAAAUGCACACUAAGUACUUACAAUUUACACGUUCACUACUAAAAUUUUAAAAAGAACUCACCUGAUCUCGCUGGGCUGCGAGUUGAUUCCUCUUGAUCUUUAUAAGUUGAUGCACAAAAUUGUCGAUGAGUUUAAUGUCAUUCCUAAGACGAGCUUCUGAACCGAUGUUGAGAAGUCUUUUGAGUUCCCAAGAAGGAUCGAUAUAUCGCCAGUAGGUUAGUGCAUUUGCCUCAUCAAAAGCUUUCAUGAAGGCUCUUCCCCCUUUGCUUGAACCUUCCAAGCAAUUCAAUUCCACACCGAAUCCAACUUUGAAGAUGGAAUCCAAAGUGCACCUCAUCAAUAUAUCCUACACACAAGAUUUAAGACAAUAUGAUGAGCAAACUAAUGCACAAUGUCCUGUUUCCUUCUUUUCUACUGUAACGACCAUCGUAAGGAUAUGUCCUUUCUUCUACUGUUAUGGUUGCCAUCUCUCUCUCUCUCUCUCUCUCUCUCUCUCUCUCUCUCUCUCAAAUUGUUUGGGUGGAGGCCGAGGAGGACUGAUGACUACCACAAGAUGGUCGCUCCUAUUGUCGGGUGACCCCAACAGUUUUCGUCUAUCCUAGGUUUCUCUUCAAGACUAGCUAUAUCUAAUCCUCUUUAGAUUGCAUACAUAUCCAAUCAUUUUCAGACAAAGCUACACAUCUAUCAAAUCCGGACGACCAAUUUCAUUAUAUUUCGAUAUUCUGUCGGAAAUAUGCGGUCUUUAUGUUUGAUUCCAUUCACCUUAUGUUUCUUUCAGAGUGGUUUUGAUCGUCGUGGAGUUCUCGCCAUUCAAAAAUUAAAACUACUCACUUGCAUAUCGAAUCCCUCUGAAGCGGCCGAUAGCUCCUCCACGACCUUGACCAGCUUCGCAGCAUUCUUCCUGAACACGCCACAGCUAAAAUCUCUGAGCACCCUUGUCGCAAACUCAAAGCCGGCAACCUUCCUCUGUAUCUUCCACUUCUCUCCGUCCACCGCGAAAAUCCCCUCCCCUAACAAAUCCUUCAUUAUAUCUAUGUCAUACUUUCCCUUCGUGUACUUAUUGAAGUUGGUCUUCAAUAUGUGCUCGACGUUCCUUGCAUCCGUUGUGUAAAUGCCACUCUGGUACGGCGCGAGGAGCCGGAACGUCGGAGAUCUCCUCGCGACUCCGGUCAGGUAGUCGUAGAGCCGGUUGAAGUAGACAAGUUGACCGAAGACCGUCCCUCGAACGGGCGGAUACUUAGAGCUUCGAGGGACUUGCCGGUGAAGGUUUUCAAGAGGAGGAGAGCGAAGGCGAUGGAGAGGGCGACUGGAACGAGUGCUGCGGAGUAGAGCACCGUCGACACGAUGUUGAUGCCCAUUUUUUUUUCUCUGGUAAAGAAGCUGGACGGCAACGAGUAUGAAGAGCACCGUCGACACGAUGUUGAUUUCCUUGCGUUGAUUUAUAGCUCAAGGCUCUCGACUUUGUCCAUUUGUUUCACUUAGCUCUUUAGAAUAUAAUAAUGUAGGAAUUGAUGUGCAUGUUCAGGUUUUAUCUGUUUGUUGUGGAGGAAGUCAAGUAGUACUUGACAAGUACUCAGAUGGCCUGCCACUCUUGGUGGUGAAGCUUCAAGCUUCAUUUAUCUUAAUCAAAAUAUAUCCGAUAAAAAAAAAGUAUAUAAAUAUAAACCCUGAAUUUCUUUUCUUUUUUGUUAUGGAAAAUUUACUGGGCAUAAAACUAUAAGCAUUGAAUUACAUUUGGGCAAUAUUCAAUCACGUAUCCAUUUGUUUUGUGCAAAUUAAAUGAUAUAGAAAACAUUUUCCUAUAAAUGAAAAUUUCUUUUGUUUUGCAAAAAUAUUCAGUCAUAAAUUAUUAUUAAUGAAAACUUUGCUUAUUGACUAAUUAUUUCAAGUGAUAUAAGCGAUUAAAUUUUUUUCUAAAUCAUUCAUUUUUUAUAAAAGAAAUGGACCUAUGUUAUUAGACUAAACCAAUUAAAUGACAUAAUAUGGUUAUUUUCCUUAUUUUCCCCUCCCUUUAUCAUGCCUACUAUGGUCAAGAUCAUAGAAGGAAUGAGUUUCUACCUCUACUAGGGUUUUAUUUCUAGGUAGGUGAACUUGAACCGCACAAAGCUAGUAUCAUUUCAAUGAGUGAUAAAUAGUAUUCUUUACAAGUCAUUUUGCUCGAGAUUCAAGGUCGGAUGAAUGGAAACUAUGAAAGAUCAUUUCAUUCGAAUGUACUUUCAUUUGAUUUUAGCCGGACAUGUCGAGAUAGGGCAUGAGAUGGAAGUCAAGGGAAAUAAUCUUUGGUUUAAUAAAUUAUUAGAGGAAAAAAUCAUUUAAAAUAAACCAAGAUAUGGUGUUGCCUACGUGGCACAUGAAUAAUAUAAAACAAACUUCGUUGCUCACGGUUUCUUCCCCCCUUCGAAAUGCCCAAAAGGGCCCCCAAAACUGACCGAGGGGUGCAAUCGAAAGAGAUUCGAUAGUACAAGGCUAACUUUAAUAUAAAAUGAAACGGUUGGGACUAUCACUAGAAUUACACGCAAAUCACAGGAUUACGUGUGAUUGAGAUGUGGUUAGUUGGGAAGCAGAGAUUUCGCACGCGUAGGAAAUGAUGGGCAAGCUUUGGUUUGAUCUGUGUGUUGUGGGGCAAGUUUGAGACCUUGGAAGUGGUCGGCGAGGCGAGCUGGUCAACAAAAUAAUUAUUAAAAAAUCAAAUAAAAAAUAUUAUUAAAAAUUUAUUCACAUUAGCAUUAGCUAGACAAUUGGCCAUGUUGAUGCCAGUCGGUCAAAAAUGUCAACACUAGCCGACCAAAAUUAAAAGGGACAUUGGGCUACGGAAGCACGCCGAGUCAAUGAAAAUGACUUUAGAUUACAUAAGCACGACAGGUCAAUAUAAAGGAACUUCGGGCUAUAGAAGCACGCUAGGUCUAUUAAAAGGGAUAUCAGGCUACAGAAGCACGCCGGAUGAAUAUAAAGGACACCAGGCUACGGAAGCACGUCGGGUCAGUGAAAAGGGCUUUGAGCUAAGAAAGCACGCCGAAUCGAUGAAAAUGACAUCGGGUUACGAAAGCACACCAAGUCAGUAAAAGGACUCUAGGCUACAGAAGCACGCCAAGUCAGUGAAAAGGGCUUCGGGCUAUGAAAGCACGCCGAAUCUCAAGGCUUCAAGGAGCAACUUGAACGUCAAGUAUUACUCAGUCUUCAAAGAAAUAUUACCUGUCAGAUAUAAUUAGAGCAAAAACUUAUAUGCAUUCAUUAAAGACGUAGACAAUUUGAGCUACUCUAGAAUGCACAUUUCAAAGUUCAAUGAGGUUUUCAUCCAUUCAAUAAAUGUUUAUGCAUAAUGACUUUACCAUAUUUGCAUCACCUAAAUUUCCAUUAGAGAGAAUUGUCCUUCAAGACAAUGACAUAGAUUUAUACUAAAUGAGAGACUUUUAGUUAGAAAGGACUUCCACUUACUCUCAUUUAGAAUGGUUAUUUUAUGAGAAUCACUCUUUCAUAUCGACAAGGGUCUGAGUAUUCUCGCAAGCAAUACAACAUUACCAAUUUGAGAGGUCUUUAACAGGGCCCAUAAUGUAGGCUUUGUCAAUGGCUUAACAAAGGGACUCUUUGAAUCAAGGUAAUUAAAAGAACAACUACGCAAUCAUCUCAGAGUUUACAAGUCAAGAACCCUACAAAAUGAGAAAGAAAUAAUUUUGCUCGCACUUUUUCGAGCGAUACUUAUAAACAUAUGAACUCUCAUGUUAAUUCAAAUGCCAUAAUCUGAAGAGACUUUGUAAGGGACGUAACAUAGGCUGGGUUCAUGGGUUGAGAAAUGAAAGGAUCAUUAGGCUCAAAAUAUAUGUAAAGGGUGAGAGUUGAUGAUCAUCUUGGCAUUACCACUAGUUUUCUUUUUCAUCAUCGAGGAUUGUCUUCAUAAGGCACCUCAUUGAUUGUGAAAACUCAGCAUUCGAGUUCUUUGAGUAUUACUCCAUUGGAAAUACAACCUUUUUACAAUCGAUAGUCCUUAUCUUGACUCUCCUUUUCCAUCUAUGGUCAUCGGCAUUGCUUUUACCAUGCACACCGCUUUUUCAUGCUCCUAGUUCUCAUUCGUUUUUUCUUCACUUCUUUUUUCAUGGGCAUUGGCCUGGCUUUUACCAAGUACAUUGCUUUUUCAUACCCCUUAGUUCUAUUGAAUGACGUUUUUUAACAUUUGGAUUUUUAGGAGGUCUUCGUCUUUUGUCAGCACUCUAGACCAUACUAUUUGAACAAUUACUUUUUGCCUUGCCCCAAUGUGAGGGAUGAUCACCAACUAGGUUUGAAGAAAUGAAAUUGCAAGCUCAAGUGGGCUAUGCAAAGGAUAUAUGUAUGUAGGAAAAAGAAAGAAAUGCUCUUCGUUAUCCUAAGGCACUUAAAUUACCACAUAAAUUCAAUGUAAUAACAUGACUUGAAAAUUGAUGCAAGUGAAAGCAAAAAAAUUCCUUUUUAUUUUCCUCGCAUCAUGAUGCUAUCUUACAUCCCAUUUGCCCCAAUGUGGGAUGGUUCUUGACAGGGGUAAUUUAAAAAAAAAAAAAAAAUCUCCAUAAGUGUAUAAGGCUUAAAGGGGUUAAGCAAUGGAUCACAUGUAGUAUUUGGGAUAGAAAAAUGAAUUGCCCCUCAUCAUUUUGGUCAUCGUACUUUCUCGAGAAAACUCUUUAUCUUGUAGAUAUUGAACUUUCUAUACUCAUCUCACAAUUGUAUAAAUAGGGGACUGUGUAUAGGAUAAAGCUUGCCUUUCAUCAUCCUAACGCGUCUCAUUCAACAUUCUUAAGCAUUGAUGUCACUCUAUUGAAUUGUCUAUCUUGACAAAUCUCCACAUGAAAUUGGUGAGUUAAAUAGGCAAAAUCACUAUGGAAAUUCUCUUUUGAAAAGAGUCUAGCAACUUUAAGCAUGAAAAGCUUUUGUGACUUCAAACAGACAAUUUUCUACACUCAAAAAUGCUCUCGUAAGUAUUAAAAACAUGAUUUCAAGCGUUCAUUCAAGGAAUUGUCCCACGAAGGGACGGUCUCAGCAGUGGGUGUCCUUGGAUUGCCCCCUAUCGAAAGGGAACAAACACACAAAUUGAUCAAUCGAGGCUGAAAAUUCGAUCUUUGAUUUGAUGAAUUCUUACUUUUGCCCAUGCACAAAAUAACGUGCAUGAAUAGGAUACUAUGCAACAUCAAAGUAAAUGCACAUGGAAUAUCCAUUUUGGUUUGGGUGGAGAUUUUGUCUUAGUCGGGUCACUACCAAAAUCUGUCAUGUCCCCAAUUUGUCAUCUGCAAGGGAAAGAACAAAGUGUCAUUUCCCAAAAUUAAUUAUGUUCAAGGACAAGACGUACCUCUUUCACCAGAGAAUGAUGCACUUGCCAUUUAUUUUCUUAUUAAUGUGCAAGAAUGAAAAUUCCGUCAAGCAUGGAAAUAUGAAACACUUUGCUUGACUCUUCAAGAUGGAUAUUUCAAGUGGUAUCGAGAUGUGACCCAUAUUAACUUUUUAGAACUGUGUUCUCAAUCUUGUUGGGAAACAGUUGAGCCAAUUGAUCUAUCAUCGCAACCCGAUGCGCCUUUUCCAGAUGCUUCCUCAUCAGGCCAAGAAAAUAAUGCUCAUGAAUCAUGUGUGCUUGAGUUCUUCACCCUCCUUGGUCCUCACGAAAAUGAGAUGGUUCAAAAGUCUCUUGGCUUUCUUCUUCAGGUUGCAAUUUCUCAAUUGUUUUGAUCCGCCCUUUUAGCUCUCGACCGUGUAAGGAUAGGUGAGCAGGAUUGCUCCAUAAUCACCUAUUUCGAGGAAAUGAACACACGUAUAAGCACAAGGUGAAAAUAUGGAACCGGUCCAUGAUGAUAAUCUGAUCGACUUUUCAUUUUCAUUUUUUUUUUCAUUUACUCAUGAAAAGUUCAUACAAUAAGGGAAUUUCCUAUUAAAAAAACUAGAAAAGUAGACACCCUAACAAAACCAAAAUUCCUAAACAUGAACUAGGAAAGGCCAAAAUUUAAAACUCCCUAAUAAAAACAAUAAAAACAUGAAUUGAAAAUAAAUUCUCCAAAGUUUUUUUUUUUUUCCAAAUGAUCCAUUGCAUGGCAAUUUCCUCAUUUCAUUCUUAAUUGACAAAAGGAAUUAAAUCAAUGAUUGACCUAGAUUGUCAUGGACGGACCAAAAGUAUGACAAAGUAAGUAAAUUGCAUAGUAUAGAGAUAGAAGACUUACUUCACCAAGGAAACUCGAUGGUAACCACAUAGACAUGCAUAUGAGAUGUGAGGCUCAAUUUCUACUCUAGACAGGCUUAGCAAAGUGAAGCCACAAGGAUGAUCGAACCAGAAAUUCUCGAAGCACCCGUUUCUCUCACUACAACCCCAUCAUCCUCAAACACUUAAGAUUUCCGUAUUUCAAAUGCUUCUAAGAUAGAUUAUCUCUAUGAAGUCUCUCUUAGUGACGAAACUAAGAUCUUUGAAACCCAGCUUCCUUUGAUGAACCCCUAUUCAACUUUUGCUAAACCCACUUCAUCAUUUUCACCCAUCCGCUCUAUCCGUCAACUCAUUCGCCAGACUCCAAAGGAAGUAAAGGAAUAUGUUCAGUCCUCUAAGUUCAACCAGUACCCCAUUCCUGUUACUGAAAAAGAGUACUUUGUUACUCUUCAGAUCCCUCUAGAGUUUCCCCGACAAUGGAUCCAGCAGGGAUAUUUCCAUGUUCAUUAUGGAGUUGUUCAUCUUGCUCUUACUUUUCAUGUCCAAAAAGGUUUGCCAAUUGUGGCAAGAAUCAUGUUGUUAGAUACCAGGUUUUUAGAGUACCAGCAUGCUUGCAUAGGUACUGUUCAAACUACUUUAAAUGCUGGAACAGCCUUCAUGACAUUAUAUCCAAAUUUCAACAUUGCCCUUUUAGAUCCCAGUUACUUUCUUUUCUAAAAGUCUAGAUCCAUCUCACUGGGGCACCUCAGACUGCUGAUUCUAUAGUAGCAACUUUGCAUUACCAAAUGGUCUACAGAGUGCGCUUGAUUUAAAUUUCCACAAUAAAAAUGAAGAUGCUUUGUUCAUUUCCAUGCAAAAUGAUCAAGUAUCAUGCAUUCAUGUCCCUAGACAGAUCCCAGAAGAAAAGUUGGUCACGCUCCUUCCAGAGACGUGGAUACCAACUAUGAAAAGCUUCACCAAAGCAACAAGUUUUUCCAAUCAUCAGAUUCUGCGUUUGUCAGAAAAAAGGAUGGAAUUGUUUCCAUUAAAUUUGGCAAGGAAAAAGAAGAAAAUCCCUCUAUCUUACAGACCCUUUUUAUGAUUGAACCAUGUGUUCCUGAGUCUAUUUCCGAACUAGAUCCAAAAAAGCUUGUUCGACACUUUAACAGUGAUGGGCAUCAUGUCCAUUACUAUAAAGACCAGUAUGGCCAUUGUUUUUUGGACCCUUUCUGCCAAUGUUCUUAUUGUACACAUUCUCCUGAUGAGGUAGAUCCAUUUGCAAAAUCUCCGCCUCGGAGAAAAAAGCCAAAGAACCUUAUGUACCAAAGGCACCUGAAUGGAGACCCCUCCAUUGAUACUCUUGGUGAGUGUAAUAAAUUUCAGUUCAUGGUUUCAUAUACACCAACACCACCACCAAAGUUCACUGCUUCCUCUCCAAUAUCACCAGAUCCACCACAAUCACCUCCUCCAUCUCCUCCUCAGAUAAAAACUAGCCAUAUCCCCGUUUUAUAAGAUAAUUGUAAAAUGGGCCAAGAAACAUUCAUACCCACUUGAGGUUUCACCAAAAACACCACCUAGUUCUUCCAUUGCUAUGUUCCAAGAAACAGACUUUCCUCCUCUUGUUCAGGAAAGUUCUAAACUCUCUUUUCCUGCCUCAAAAGAGUUUAUCGAUUCACAAGGCAAAUAUAGGCAUGUUCCUAAGAUACCUGCCCCAACUGAUGUGGAUGAGCAUGGAAGACAAAAAAGAACUCCUGUUGCUGAAGGUGUCUUAAAUUGGCAAUUGGAGACUCUCCUUGCAAACAACAAUGCUUUCAAAGCAAUUGAUUCCAAGAUUGGAAAUGUGCAACAAGAUUUGCGAAGAUAUAAAGAAACCACCAAGACGAUGCUUUCAGAUUUCCAGAAGAGGCUUCAUGCCUUAGAAUCUGGACAACAUCUAAGCUAUCACCAUCUUGAAAGUCCUAGAGCAGAAAUAGAAAAGCUUAAAAAGCAAAUCCAGAUCCUUGAGGAAGGAAGGCUCAAUCCAUUUCAAACUACUUUGCGAGUAGAUCCUCUCCCUCCUCCACCACCUCAGACGUCUAUUUUUGCUGCUAUUACCGAUGCACCUAUCAGACAGGACAAGACAGAUGUGGCUGAGAUGAGGGAUUGUCUUAGAGAACUUGAUCGCAUAAGAAAAAAAAAAAAAGAGAAAAGAAAAGAUGCUCGAGAAAUCCUCUCUUAUCAUAAGGGAGCCUGAUCAAGUGAUGUUGUUAAACCCGUUGGAAUCCUUUUUAAGAGAUUUGGGUAAUCAAGAACCACAGCCUGAUCCUGAUCUUGUUGUUCCACAACCUCCACCCCCAAAUUGAUCCUAUUAUUCCAACAUAUCAAAUUUUGUUUCCAACAGAACCAGCUUUUCCAAAUAUUAUUGAUACUAAAUCAUACUCAAUAUCUCUUUCAUCCUCAUCAUCAUUUUCAAUCCCUACCAUUGAUUCCCUUCCUAUAGCACCAAUAACUUCAUCAAUAUUCAUGGUCGAUCCCCCAUAUCAUGAUAUGGAAUCAAAUCCUUCUGAACUAGAAGUUGUUCAGCCAAACAGUCACUCUCAGAGUGUGUCAACUUCAUCAAAGCAGUUUUUCAUUAUUGAUGACAUACCUUACCACAAAUGACCAGAAAGACUCGAGGAAUUUCAUACUUGGCUGAAUACCUAAGCUAUUACCAACCAAGACAAGUAUGACGUUCUUUUCAACUUUGUCACAAGGUUCACAUGUAACCUCAAACUUUGGUGGCAAUCUUUAGUAGAACAAGAUCAAAUGCAUUUUUUGCUCUCCCCAAAUUUUGGCCAUGCCAUUACCCUUCUAUAUCACUUCUUUGUGAGAAAACCUGUUAAUCUCAUAGAACUCAAAAGAAGAGAAUUUUUCAAAAGAAAAUGUUGUUCUCUUCAGAGAAAAAAAAAAAAAAAACAUCUUGAUAAGUAUUAUCGUGAAAUGCUUAAGCUCUUCUAUCAAAUUGGAGCUGAUGCAAACUUUAAACAUGUUUUCUUGACCUCUAUCCCCAAAGAAUUAUCUCAAACAGUAGAAAGGACUUUUCUAUCUAGACAAAGAAGGAUCCAAGAUGUUCCGUUGGGAGAAAUUCAACAAGAAAUUCAAUUUGGGUCCUCAUGACUUCGGCUUGGUCAAAGAGCCAACCUAGGUCGCGAGCAUGCGGACCGAGGUGAGUACUCUUGACAAAAAAAAAAAAAAAAAAAACUUUGGGAUUGAGAUGGGCAACUCAUACCGCGGGCAUGAGGUCGAAGCGAUAUCCAUCUCAAUACCAUUCUAGAUCAUCCUAUACGGCCCAAGUCUAGCGGCAGAUUGUGUGUGCAAAAGUGUAGUGUAAAUGCAUAAGCAUGCAUGACAGUUUAUAUCAAGCAACACUUCAUAAAUGAAAGUAAAUCAUACAUCCAUACACCUCCCUGCAAAACAAAGAUUAGCAAGCACUUCCCCUUAUACCUCACAUCCUGCAAGAACUUUUAACACCUUAAACGUAAGGAGCGUACUUGGGAUCCUUGUUGUCAAACAAAAUUUUUCAAAAGAAAAGAAAAUUGGUCUAAGCCCACUAAGAGUUUUAACUCAAGUCCUCAGUGGAGUUGCCAAACUGUCGAGACCAAAUUUUGGGUGAAUCACCUAGGAUUUGGCUAAUGGAUUACUAAGCCUAAACUUAGCUCGGGCUCUCCCAAACCCAUAUCAAUUCGCGACUUAAAUUCAAGUUCUUAACAUGCCAUUGAUUUUUCAGUUAGGAGUCGUCACUAAUCUAUUUUCGGUGGGUCAAUUAGAAACAUAAAUAAAGUAAUAUGAGAUUUACUUUAUUUCUACGAACCAGAGAUUAUGAAUUUGGAGACUUGGUUACGCUAGAUUUCUCUGAUGCCCUUUCGGUACCUUUCUCUUUUGUUUUGAAAAGAAUGUUUUGUAGGUAGUUUAAAUUGAUUUUAAUUUAUCUCUUAUAUAUACGGGUGCACAAAUCAUCAAUUUAAUACCCAAAUAAAGUAGUGAAUAAAUUGCAAGACUUACCUCGGGGCAUCGAAAGCAUAUGCAAUGUUAGAUCAAAAUUCACAUCAGUAGUACUAGAUAUGAUUUCUAAUUAACACGCAAUUACUUUUUUUUUCAUUUAUUUAAUGAGAAUCAUGCUUUAUGCAAUGCAUGCUACUAAUCUAACAUGAAAUGAAAUGACGUGACAAUAUGACCUAAGCUAUAUGACGAAAAUAAAAUAUAAGCAUGCAGUCUAUCCUAAAUAAUGAAAUUGAUUUAUUCAAAGACAAUUUUUUGGUAUUUUCUAUGAAAUUCGAAAUUAGAAAAAUGUGAAAAUUAUCUGCGUAUAUUAAGAUAUCAUCCAAUUUGUAUUAGGAAUUAGGUUAAACCAAAUCAUAAUUUAAACUAGAACAUUAUCUUAACUAAGUAAUCCUAAAAUGCAACCUAUUAGGAGAAAUGAUCUAAACCUAUAAUUAAUUAAAAAAAUAAACAUGCAAUCUUAUCCUAACAUGCAAUGACAUACAAAGAAUGCCCUAAUUCUAGUUUUUUUUUUUAUGAAAUUCGAAAUUAAAAUUGACACAUAAUUAAACGUGCAAUUUAAAAAAAAAAAAAACCUAACAUCCUAAAUGAAUGCAUUUUUUUUUUUUUUUGGACUUUCAUUUUUCAAAAAUUCGAAAUAAAUGAAUUCCCUAUGCAAAAUAACCCUAAAACAAUAAACCUAAUCUAACUCAAAAUUUUUGGAUUUUCUUUUACGAAAACAAAAUCGAUCAAACGGCAUGACAGCAAAUCAGCAAGAUAAAAUUGAUAUCCAUAAAUUGACAAAUCAUAUCUCGCACAUGGGAUCAGAUUGGUCAAUUUUAAUAAAACCGCGAAUGGAAUCUCAAGCGUGAGAUCGGAUUGGCGAUUUUUUGUGCGAUUGCGAGUUAGAUUUUGGGCGCGAAAAUUGGACUGCAAUCCCUAAUUUAAAAUGCUUGAAUACUUCAAAUAAAGAAACAAAGUAUUAAAAAAAUGAAAUAAAAUAAAAUAAAAUAAAAUAAAAACCACCUAAUUUGAAUUUUCUCCAAAUCCGGGUUUAACGAACGGCGGCUCAUAGAUCGCGACGGGGCCUCGAUGUGGCUCAAGUACGGGUGGCCGUGGUAGUGGACAGCCAAGGGUGAUGGGUCGCUGUCGAUCGGAGCUCCGGCGAGGGGGGCAACAAGCAUGGACCAACAGUGGGCAGAGGAAGACACGGCAAUAGCAGCGGUGUCGCUCGGAUGGAGAGCUCGAAGCGGCGUGUAGGGGGCCGGCGCUCAGACGACGGGUGGAGAAGGCGGGCAAUGAGCUGCCAUGGUGGUAGCGACAACAAGCAGAUCGCAAGCGAAGUAAUGAGGCAACGGCGGUGAGGCGAAUGGGAUCAUGGGAUUUGCAGGUUGCAGGCGAGGCAGAUGGGCUGAGGGCGGAGGCACAGCAGGUGAGGCGGACGGGAGUAGCAGUGGCGAGUAGUGGCGUUGUAUGGAGGGGGGGGGGGGCUCGCAAGUGCUGCAGCAGUGGAGCUCGUUGGCAACACAACAGAGCUGCACUAGACGAGCGCUGAGCGGUUGCGGACGGGUAAGCUGCUGCAGUGUCAGUGCUCAGGUGGAGGGACAGACACGGGCCAGCGCAGGCUCGCGGGUGAGGCGGUGGUGCAAGCUUGCGAGUGCGGGGGAGCUCUGGCGAUGACAGGCAAAGGCAGCGUCGCAACUUCAGGCGCUCGGAGCGGUGAUGGCUCAAGAGGGUGAUAGGAAAACAAUAACAAUUCGAAUAAUAUCGAAUUAACGCAGUGGAAUAAAAUAAUAUCCCCUCUUAUGUAAACUUAAUAGAAAUCAAUAUAGUAGAGUAAAAUAAAUACUAAGCACGCGAACACAAGACAAUUUUUUACGUGGAAAACCUCCUCGAUGUGAGGAGAUCAAAAAACCACGGGACCGGAGUCCACCUGAAAUUCUUCACUAUCAACAAAAUUGGGUGAACAAUGUUUUUCUUUAGCAAAUGCUAGAGGUACAUAGCAACAAACACCUCAAGAACAUAAUUCUUGGCAAUACACUUGAAUUUCACAAUAUACCAAGGAUAAAUCUGACCAAAAACGCAUGUUUUGAUCAAUCCACGAAAAACUUGAUGUAUGGAGCUUCAAAUGAAAAUCAAACCGUUUAGAUUCAAGAAAAUUGCGCCACGAACAUGCUGACAAAAUUUUAGCUCAAUCGGACAACGAAUCGACUUCUGAUGUCAGCUUGAUGUAAAUCAGCUAUUGCUCAAAUCCUCAGAUUUUCUGCUUUCUCUUUUUCACUUAUUACUAUUUCCCUUUAUGGCUACCACUUUAUAUAAAUAAUGAGAAACUAUAUUUCUCCAUAUAACUUAUCAUAUGGACUCAAGCCCUUUUUUAGCUUGCAACUUAUUAGGCUUUCUCCACGUAGGAGUGAACCCAACUAACAGAGGGCUCGAGGUUUGCUGGUGGAGCGACGGUGAGGCUCGGUGGUGCAACACGGAGGUGCGGCGCAGUGGGGCGACAGCAGCGGUCACCGGCGGGGAAGGCACACGAAGAAGAAUAACAGUGCUCUGGUCUGUCUCUUCUCUUUUUUUCCCUUUUUUUUGUUCUUUUCUUUUCUGCUGCCUUGUCGCACACGUCCUCUCUCUCUCUCUCUCUCUGUCUCCUCUCUACAACCCCCCUCUCUGUUGUACUUUCAGCAGAAGCAAAAACCCAACUUUUUGUGCUUUCUUUGACUCAAAAGCCAAGAAAACCCCCAAAGAACGAAAAUAGAAACCCCCCCCCCCCCCCUCUUUAUUUUUUAACGAUUUCUCUCAUGCUCCUCUCGGCCGUGUGUUUCUAUUGCGUGGCCUCCCUCCUUUCUGUAGCGUAGCAACCUAUUUAUAGGUGAGUGGACUAGUCAACAUCCACGCAAUAUUUCUUCACUGAUUUUAUCACAUUUUGAUAAAGAUUUAAGAUUGUGAUAGAAUUUUUCUCAAAUCUCAAAUCUUACAAAGAUAGCUUGCAAUAUUUUUUAUCACACUUGCCAUAUCCGAUAAUAUUGAAAAAUUCCCAUCAUAUCCCGGAAAAUUUCAAAUCAUUAUUUCUCACAUGAUAAUUUUUGGUCAUAAAAGAAAACAGGGUAGGCCAAUUUGCUCUUUUCGUGGGCUUAGUCCAACCUGUCAAUUUAAAACUCAGAACUACCAAUUUGAACCCAACUGUCAUUAAUCCAAUGCAAAUGCAAAUUAAAAAUAAAUGCACCUAAAAUUAUAUGCUAUGCAAUUAAUUAAUUAAUUUUAAUUUUUUUAGGAGUUAAAAAUUAAUCCCUAAUUUUCUAUGCAUUAAACAAAUGACUGAAUCACCAAAAUUUAGAUGUAAACACUCAGUUUGAACUUCUUUAUCUUUUCCUAUGAUGGGUUAGAGGUCCAAACUUUAAUUCUUGCAGGUGAACAAAAGAUUACCGCUGGAACUGCAAGAUAGAGCCUCAAUGUCUCUGUGAGCGUGGCAUGAAGAUGGUGCAUUUGGUCGAGCACAGGAUCAGUAAUUCUUUCCACGAAACAAUCAGGAUUAGCUUCACUUGCUUGAUCUCCCAUUAUUUCCUCUAUUUCAUCGGCAAUCUUUUGCUUACUAGGGGGUGUUUGCAGAGCGUGUAGAGGAACCAUGAUAAGGUAUUUUUGCACUAGUAUCUUUUCCAGCAAUCAUGAAAUUCAGAAUUAUAUCCCUCAAGUACUUCUCGUUCAUAUUCUCAGGAUCUUUCUCGCUCUCGAGCAAAAAAUUUGAGAGAAUGUCCUCCUUGUCAUUCUUGUAGGAAGAAAAUUUGGAAAAAAAAUAAUCAGCCGAAGGAAUUGCCUAGGAAUAAACCUAUAAAAUGGUACAACUUCGUGAUGAAAAUCUUUAGACCGCGCCACAAGGUUUUCUAGCCAGAAUUCCUCUGAAACCAGACUGUACUUGAGCUUCUACAGAAUUCUUUCAGAGUUAUUGUUACUAAAAUCUUCCCCAACAUCAAAUGCCCUAAUGCCUCUUCCGAAUUUGCAUUGUGUCUUGACAGUAGAAGGGCGUAAAUUUAAAGAAUCGAAUAGCUAAAUGUACACAAGUACUCACACCUUCACUAAAAAAAAGGAAGAAGAAAGUAUUCACUCGCUCUCGCUGCGCAGGCAGUUGAUUCCUCUUGGUUCUGGAGUUGAUGCUUGAAAUUGUCGAUGAGUCUAAUGUUAUUCCUGAGACGAGCUUCUGAACCGAUGUUGAGAAUUCUUUUGAGCUUCCAAGAGGGAUCAACAUAUCGCCAGUAGAUUAGUGCGUUUGCCUCAUCAAAUGCUUUCAUGAAGACUCUUCCCUCUUUGCUUGAUCCUUCCAAGCAGUUCAAUUCCACGCCAAAUCCAACUUUGAAGAUGGAAUCCUAAGUGCAUCUCAUCAAUAUGUCCUUCAGACACGAUAUAAGACAAUACGAUAAGCAAACUAAGGUACGAUGGUCUGUCAUCGUCUCUAUUUUAAAGACCAUUACCAGCAAAUGUUCUUUCUUCUACUGUUAAGGUAGCCAUCUCUCUCCCUCUCUCUCUCUCUUCAAACUGUUUUGGUGAAGAAUGAGGAGGACUGAUGACUACCACGAGAUGGUCCCUACUAUGGAGAAUGAGGAGGUUUCGUUUCAAGACUAGCUAUUUCUAACUCUUUAGAAUGCAUACGUGUCUAAUCAUAUUUCACACGUAGUUACAAUAUCUAUCAAAUCCGGAUGACCAAAUUGAAGUCAGGAGGCUCGCCACUCUUUUGGCUCCAAGUGUUUGAUAAAUGAGAUCAUGAGAGACGAAGUUAUAUUAAUCAUGAUGAAGGGAAGCUUCUGUUAUCGUAAACAAAAGUAUAGGAAUACAAUAAAUCAUGAAAUCUUUGUUUUCUUUUAUGGAAACUUAACUUGACAUAAAAGCUAUAUGCAUUAUAAUUACGUUUGGGAACCACCGUGAAAUUCUUGCCUUUGCCUCUAGCCUUUACGUAAAUGCAAAAGAAUAUAAGAUUAAACGGUCUUCAUAAAAUGCAAAUGGUUUUAUUUGCAUUAGACUAAGUUUUCCUUAAAGGCCCGGCGUUGUAAAGGAAGGAGAAUGAAGAGGAUCUAAACCCACUAAUAAAAGCAAUCGGAGUCGGUGAAAGCUGAACCGUCAAAAAGGCCAAGCGAGGGCCAUCAAAGGUAGAUUUGAGGCGAUGUCGGUCAGACUUGAGCUUGCAGCCCACGACCACGUUACGCUAUCAGGUCUGCACGGGAAGGUGAGGGUGCGGGUGAGAGUAAAAUUGGAAUUUAGAUAAUUUAGUGAGUGCAAAGUUGAAAAAUUUUAUUAAACCUUGAAAGUAGUUUUCUGAAUAUAUAGAAUGUGAAUAAUGGGUGGGAGUUGCACCUGAGNNNNNNNNNNNNNNNNNNNNNNNNNNNNNNNNNNNNNNNNNNNNNNNNNNNNNNNNNNNNNNNNNNNNNNNNNNNNNNNNNNNNNNNNNNNNNNNNNNNNUGAAUAUAUAGAAUGUGAAUAAUGGGUGGGAGUUGCACUGAGCUAAACGACUUUGAAAACGCCAUAUUUGGGCUCAAAGGCCUUUGAAAUGUGUCUCCAAACACCUCAAUUUUGGUACAAGAAUCUUUGGAAAAGGUGAACCAAAAGCGAGGAACCUUCCAACAAGAGAGUUAAUUUUCAAGAGUUAUAGCUUAUCAUAGGCAGGAUCAUAUAAGAAUGUGUUUCAACUUCUUAGAUUUCAUUUCUAACUGGGUGAGUACGAAUCAAUCUAAAGUUGUUGGAAUUAUUUAAAUGAAUGAUAAAUAGUACUCUUUACACACCUCUUUCUCGAGAGAUUCAAGAUUGAAUAAAUAAAAAAUAUAAAUAUAAUCUCAUUCGACGUUGUCUAUAUCUAAUUUUAACUAGGCAUAUUGGGAUAGUGACAAAUGUGUCACAUUCACAUUGUAAGCAUCAGAGACAAAAGCCAACGCAGACAUCCUUUGAUUAAUAGAUGAUUGAGGCUCCAUUCGUUUUAUAAAAUACAACUUUCAAGAAAAUGUUUUUUAUAUUUUCUUUCGUUCAUUUCACAAAAAAUGAAUUGGUUGGAUAAAAUAUUUUCCAUUAAUGAAAAUAGUCUUCUAAUAUAGGGGAAAAAAAUUUGCUUUAUCCUCUUUCUUUCAUUUUUAAACCAAGCAUUAUUUUUUUUUUUUACCAAACAUCUUUUCUUUUUAUUUUUUUAAAUCAAAUUUUCAGUUAUUUUAAUUUUUAAUUUUUAAUUUUAUUUAUUUAUUUCUUUCCUUCUUCUUGAGCCGAUUGCCAACCACAAUGGCAAUCGACAGCUCGCCACAAGUGAGCUUGAGCCUUGCCUAGUUUGCCGAAUUUGGCAAGGCUGGAGCUUGUUGGCUACAAACGAGCUCAACCUCAUUGGAUCAAGUAGGGCUUGAAAUUGCUGGUAUCUAGCAAGCUAGAGCCUUGUUGACCUAUGGUGAGGCUCAAACUUGGUCGUAGCGGGUUGUUGGUUGUCACCGUGGUUGGUGCGGAAGAAGUAAAAAACGAAAGGAAGGCAAAAAUAAAAUAAAAAUAAAAUAAUUAAAAAUUGAUUUUAAAAAAUAAAAUAAAAGAAAAAUUAUUGAAAGGAGUGCAAGGUGAAAAAAAUUUCCUUAACAAAUGGUAGAAAAUAUUUUUCCCUCCGUGUCAAGUUCAGCUGAAUAUAAAAAAAUAUGAUUAUUUUCUUAGAAAACGACUUUUUUAAAAUGCUACAUUUUUUUGCAAAACAAAUGAAGCCUUAGAGAGCUAAAUAAAAAACCAAGAAUCGGCGGUUCCAAUGCGGCACAUGAAUGUCAUAGGACAAACUUUGUUGCUCACCUUUUCUUCACCAUGCCCAAAAAGGCCAUCAAAACCGACUGUCGACCGAGGGGUGACAUAAAAAGCAAUUAGAAAGUAUGGGGGUCAAUCUCAAAUGAAUGAAACAUUGGGGACCAUGGCCGGAAUUACACGUAAAACACAGGACCAAGAAUCAAUUCUCUCAUUUUUCAGAGAGAGAGAAAGAGAGCGACGGCGGGAAAAGGGAGGAGGCGGAGAGAGGAGAACGACACGGCGGCUCACGGUGGGGCCACCGCCCUCCCUCCUCCACCCCGACGCCUCCCAGGCCGACGACGCAUUGCCUUUCCAAACUUCUCAUCUCCUUCACUCCUUCUCGACCUCCGAGUGUGGCAUGCGAUUUUCCGCAUCAUGGAUGGCGCCUUGAUUGACUUCAGUCUCUAUGUUUCGUCAACACCCUUUUCAAGCUAGUGAUGAUGGUAGUAUGUACACACUCGAGAUCGUCAUUUCGGCGAACAUGAUGAAAUGUGUGGCUCGUACCGGCAGGAGGUCGUUCUGCUACUUCUGUUGGGAGAUCCAUUCUUGUAAUGUCUAAAGCAAGAACAAGAGAUUGAGUUCUAGAAUGACAGAAGGUUCAGUGAAGCAAUGUACUUGCGCUGGAACCCGUCAUGGUAUAAUUACAGCAUUCAGAGAAAGUGGUCGUUUUCGCUUGGCAUUGGCCAUUAGGUAAUUCUCCUACAGUAUACGAAUCACGGUCGGAAAAGGGGUAUGUUGGAAUCAAUUGCUGUCAUUUUAGACACAGAUUUCUGCUUUAGUAAAAGUGAAACUUUUUGGAACUACAGGAGAUAAAAGUAUUUCAAUGUCGUUUAUGUGAGAUCCCUAGUCUUGCCCAAAAUAGCAUUCUCUUUGCCGUGAGUUCUGCAAAAUCUGCGAGCAGUAACAAUCUGUACCCGUAGAAUCGGGCCUGUGCAUGUAGUGAAUAUGUGGGAUGGAAUCCACAGUCAAAUAUGCAAGAACUAGUAGAUACAUGGCAGGGAGUCAUGGUAGUUCCAAGGUGAUCUUUUUUGCAUUUACCUCAUCCAGACUGUCUUUCUGAGUGUCAUCUUAGAUUUGUCUAUUUAGGCAUAGAGAAUCAAGGAAAAAGAAUCACAAGAAGGCCAGUGCUAUGAAUGGCAUGAACUUUCCCGGAGAUGAGGAGGUCAAAUUUGGAGAGGUUGUCAAAGCUCUUGCCAGAGUUGGCCACGAUUCCUAAAGUAGUGUUCCAUGUUUUGCUGGUCAAUCGACUAAUAGCGCAGAUUCCGAAAUUAUUUGGUUCAUUCCCCCUUACCCAUUUAAUUUGUUUCAUUUUCAUUUGGGUGAAGGCAUUGAAGACCCCGCAAAAUGCAUCCCAACAGCAACUUUGUUUACUGGCAAUUGAGGCAUACCGAAAUCAUGAAGGAUGGACAGUCAGGUCCGGCAGCCAACUUCCUUUGACAAUAGCUUCUUCAUUAUGAUCGUGACCUUCUUUAGAACACUACUUUGGCCAUAUAUUUUAAAGCAAGUCAUUCUGUAUUAGUUUUGAGAGAUCUACUUUUUGUCAUAGGAUGUCUCAUUUCUUUCAUCACGGGAGGAAAACCAUUCUUCUUUCCCUAAAUUUGUGAUGGUUUAGACAUUUAACCAAGUGCUUACUUUACAUAACAGCAAAACCUGUUCUCAGUAUGUAUUCUUAUGAAUAGGUCCAGCUCAGCCGAAGCCAAUUAGCUGAUUAUCAGAUUGGUAUGUCAAUGAUAUAAUGAAUUGCUGGAUGGCUGAUUAUUGGAUGAGCUUGAAAACCAUUUUUAGUUCUAGGGACAUAUCAGCUUGUUAGCCCCUCAGAGGCUUUACUAAAAUAAGAUUUUAUUGGCAUUAUCGCAAAGCCUGACGAACUUAUAUUACAUAUGGAAUAUAAGCAAAACACAUCAAUGUUCCAAUCAUUAAAUGCGAUAGUAAGAUGAUGCGGUGCGCAUGCUUACUUAUCACUGGAAACUGCUAGCAUCCAACAUUAGAAAUCCAUAUGUCGCGAUGGACCAUACUCAACGAUAGUCCAGCCCUUAUUUAGCCAAUCUGGGAACAGCAUGAAGAGGUAAGCCAUUGUCGAUGUGAAGGGUGAACAUGACCUUGUAGGUUACAGGUCUAGUUUCGUCAGCUAAUCUGAAACGGAAGAAGCGAAGGAGAGCUAUUGAAACUAUUUUCAUCUGGCGGUAAGCGAAAUCCUUCCCGAGGCAGAUCCUAGGACCAGCCUGCAAAUAGGAAAGUAGGAGUGUCACUGGAAAUGCUUGGAAUAUGUACACACACUCUGGAUAUUCAAUUCACGAGGACUGAGGAUAUAGAAACGAACAUGGAAUGCAACAAAUUUGAAAGGUGAUUCAUUUUGGAAAAUUCCAUCCUUCAACCAUCUUUCAGGUUUGAAAUCCUCGGCAUCUUCUCCCCAGAUGUUAUGCAUUCUUCCCAUUGAGUAAGCCAAGUAAUUGAUGUUGUCCCCCUUCUUCACGUGGAAGCCAUCUGGGAGAACAUCAUCUGUCUCAGCACAUCUUCCAUCCUGUUGUGCAGAAGUGUGAAAGAUCAAAGUUAGCAUGUAUUGGUACAAAAGCCAAAGCUUGUUAAAUGUGUGUUCUUUUUGGCUUGUGCUUGCUUUGUAAUUGCCAAUCUGAUGGGAUUUCUAGCAUCUGCUGGAUUGCUGAUCUUGUUUUGUUCAGAAGAAUAUUGACUCUUUGGCAUGGCAUUUGACAUUUGAACACAAAUUAAGGACUAGUUGCAAGAUCGCAAUGCAGUCGGGGUAACACUAGUAUCUGUUCAUGAAUUUAGAGAUGAAUGAAAAGCUAGCGUCUGAUUUUUGAUGAAAAAAUGUGACCUGUAUAGUUGAUUAAUGGAAAUGAAAGGAUUCCUGGGCGUGCACUUAAGAAAAAUUUUUAGUCUAUCAUAGAUACACUUGGAUGAUGCAUCAUAGCUUCUAAAGUCAGGAAAAUUGUGAUGUCUUGUGGUGCCACUCCAAUGGCAAUUUACUCAGACCCAUUAUGAUUGUCUCUCUCCUAGCUCUAAUGUUCUGCUGAUGAAUUAAUUUGAGUUCAUAAUAUCUCGAGUUAAUUUUGAACUUUUUGUCUUCUUUUUCUGUGAUCAGUUAGGGGUUUGAACUCCAAUUCGUACAAGUGAACAGUAAAUUACCAGCGGGACUGCAGGAUACAGCCUCAAAGUCUCUGUGAGUGUGGCAUGAAGGUAGUGCAUUCGACCAAGCACCGGAUCAGUAAUUCUUUCAACGAAUUCAUCUGGGUUAGCUUCACUUGCCUGAUCUCCAGUCACUUCCUUUAUUUCAUCGACAAUCUUUUGCUGCACCAGGGGGUUUUUACAGAGCAUGUAGAGGAACCAUGAUAAGGUACUUGCACUAGUAUCUUUUCCCGCGAUCAUGAAAUUCAGAAUUAUAUCCCUCAAGUACUUCUCGUUCAUAUUCUUGGGAUCUUUCUCACACUCGAGCAAAAAUCUCGAGAGAAUAUCCUCCUUGUCAUUCUUGUAGGAAAAAGAUAGGAAAAGAAAACAUCAGCCAGGGGAAUUGCCAAAGAAAAAUCCUCUGGAAAGUAGUAUGACUGUCUUGAAAACAAUCUUUAGAUGUUGCCACAAGUUUUUCUAUUCAGAAUUCUUCCUCUGAAAAUAGUUCUUGAGCUUCUUCCAGUGUUCUUUUAUUAAAAUCUUUCGCAACAUCACAUGCCAUAAUGGCUCUUCCUAAUUUGAAUAGUGGCUUGACAAAAGAAGAGCGUGAACUUCAAAAAAUUGAACAGCUAAACGCACACUAAGUACUGCCAAUUUACACAUUUACUAAUAAAAUUUAAAAAAGUACUCACCUGUUCUCGCUGCACUGCAAGCUGAUUCCUCUUGAUCUUGAUAAGUUGAUGCACAAAAUUGUCGAUGAGUUUAAUGUUAUUCCUAAGGCGAGCUUCUGAACCAAUGCUGAGAAGUCUUUUGAGUUCCCAAGAGGGAUCAAUAUAUCGCCAGUAGGUUAGUUCAUUUGCCUCAUCAAAAGCUUUCAUGAAGGCUCUUCCCUCUUUGCUUGAUCCUUCCAAGCAAUUCAAAUCCACACCGAAUCCAACUUUGAAGAUGGAAUCCAAAGUGCACCUCAUCAAUAUAUCCUACGGACAGGAUUUAAGAUGAUAAUGAGCAAGUUAAUGGACAGUGUCCUGUUACCUUCUUUUCUACUGUGAAGACAAUUAUCAGGAAAUGUCCUUUCUUCUACUGUUAUGGUUGCCAUCUCUCUCUCUCUCUCUCUCUCUCUCUCUCUCUCUCUCAAGUUGUUUGGGUGGAGGCUGAGGAGGACUGACAACUACUGCGCGAUGGUCGCUCCUAUCGUCGAGUGACCCCAACAGUUUUCGUCUAUCCUAGGUUUCUCUUCAAGACUAACUAUAUCUGAUCCUCUUUAGAUUGCAUACAUAUGCAAUCAUCUUCAGACAAAGCUACAUAUCUAUCAAAUCCGGAUGACCAAUUUCAGUAUAUUUCGAUAUUCUAUCAGAAAUAUGCAGUCUUUAUGUUUGAUUCCAUUCACCUUAUGUUUCUUUCAGAGCGGUUUUGAUCAUCGUGGAGUUCUUGUCAUUCAAAAAUUGAAACUACUUACUUGCAUAUCGAAUCCCUCUGAAGCAGCCGAUAGCUCCUCCACGACCUUGAUCAGCUUCGCAGCAUUCUUCCUGAACACGCAACAGCUAAAAUCUCUGAGCACCUUCGUCGCAAACUCAAAGCUCGCGACCUUCCUCUGCUUCUUCCACUUCUCUCCAUCCACCACGAAAAUCCCCUCCCCGAACAAAUCCUUCAUUAUAUCUAUGUCAUACUUUCCCUUCAUGUACUUAUCGAAGUUGGUCUUCAAUAUGUGCUCGACAUUCCUUGGAUCGGUUGUGUACAUCUCACUCUGGUGCGGUGCAAGGAGCCGGAACGUCGGAGAUCUCCUCGCGACUCCAGUCAGGUAGUCGUAGAGCCGGUUGAAGUAGACGAGUUGAACGAAGACCGUCCCACGAACGGGUGGAUACUUAGAGCUCCGGAGGGACUUUCCAGUGAAAGUUUUCAGGAGCAGGAGAGCGAAGGCGAUGGAGAGAGCGACAGGAACGAGUGCUGCUGAGUAGAGCACCGUCGACACGAUGUUGAUGCCCAUUUUCUUCUUCUUUUUCCUGGUAAAGAAGCUGGAAGGUAACGAGGAUGAAGAUCAAAGCAGAUGAUCUCCUUGCGUCGAUUUAUGGCUCGAGGCUCUUGACUUUGUCCGUUUAUUGCACUUAGCUCUUUAGAAUAUAAUAAUGUAGGAAUCGAUGCGCAUGUUCUGGUUUGAUCUGUUUGUUGUGGGGGAAGUCAAGCACUCAGAUGGCCUGCCACGUGGUGAAGCUUCAAGCUUCGUUUAUCUUAAUCAAAGUAUAUAAAUAUAAACCCUGAAUUUCUUUUCUUUUUUGUCAGGGAAAAUUUACUGGGCAUAAAACUAUACGCAUUGAAUUACAUUUGGGCAUGUUCAAUCAUGCAUCCAUUUGUUUCGCGCAAUUUAAAUUAUAUGAAAAACAUUUUCCUAAAAACGAUGGCUUCUUUCGUCUAGGAAAAUGUUUAGUCAUACACUGUUAUUGAUAAUGAAAAAUAUUUUUCAUUGACUAAUUAUUUCAAGCAAUAUAAGUAAUUAGAAUUUUUUUUAAUUAUUAAUUUUUCGUAAAACAGAUGGACCUAUGUUAUUAGACUAAACCAAUUAAACGACAUCAUAUGGUUAUUUUCCUUGUUUUUCCUUCCCCCUAUCAUGCCUACUAUAGUCAAGAUCAUACAAGAAUGUAUUUUAUUUCUAGGUAGGUAAACUUGAACCGCACAAAAGCUAGUAUCAUUUCAAUGAGUGAUAAAUAUUAUUAUUUACGCGUCAUUUUGCUCGGGAUUCAAGAUCGGAUGAAUGAAAAUUAUGAAGAUCAUUUGAUUCAAAUGUAUUUUUAUUUGACUUUAGCCAGACAUGUCAAGAUAGUAAUAUAAUAAUUAAUAUUAUAGGCAUGAGAUGGAAGUGGAGGGAGAUAAUCUCUGGUUUAAUAAAUUAUUAAAGGAAAAAAAAAAUCAUUUGCAGUAAACCAAGGUAUGGUGGUUCCUAAGUGGCACAUGAAUAUUAUAAAACAAACUUUGUUGCUCACCUUUUCUUCCCCCCUUCUAAAUGCCCAAAAGGGCCAUCACCAAAACUGACCGAGGGGUGCAAUUGAAAGAGAUUAGAAAGUACAGGGCUAGCUUUAAUAUAAAAUGAAACAGUUGGGACUAUCACGAGAAUUACACGCAAAUCACAGGACCAAGAAUCAAUUUCCUCUCCCGGCAAAAGAGUAGUUCUGGUUCUUCGACAAUCAUCCUCUGCGGCAGGGCAGGGCAGGGCAGAGAGAGAGAGAGAGAGAGAGAGAGAGGCGGAGAGAGAAGAAUUACAGUGUGGCUUUGCCUUCCGAGCUUCUCAUCUCCUUCACUUCCUCUCAACCUCCGCGUGUUGCUUUCGGUUUUUACAUUAUUGAUGGCGCCUAAAUUUCAGUCUCCAUGUCUUGUCUAUACCCUUUUUAAGCCAGUGAUGAUGAUGGUAGGAUACACUCGAGAUCGUUGCUGGUGGAAGAGAUUCCGCCUUUCGUAGGGAUCUUGGGAUUGAAUAAAGAUGAAAAAUGAUGAAACGUGGCUCGUACCGGCAGAGGGUCAUUCUACUUCUUCUGGGGGCGGAUAUGUGGGGGAAUCCAUUCUUGCAAUUUCUGAAGCUAUAUUGUCAUAGGGAAAAUUAAUCUUUUUUUGGGGUUGAAGGAACAGAGUGAUUUUUAGAGUGACACAAGGUUCAGUGAAUCAAUGUACUGGCACUAGAACUCGUCAAAAUAUUGUCACACCCCGAUUCACAAGAAGAAGGGGCAUGACAUGGCCGUCCUUUUCCCAAAGGACGCAGCCUCAACGUAACCAAAAUUCAACCCGAUAUCAACAUAUAUACAUCCACAUAUAUAUAUUUGACAAAAAGAGGCACUUGGUUACAAAAUCUAUAUCAGAGUAUAUCUAUAAUCCACAAAAAUUCAAAACAUAAACCUUCUACAAGGACUAACUUAUAAACCUAUUAACAAAAAGUUCCACCACAAAAGUCCUCCCCGAGCGAACGCUCACGCCUACUCGCGACUCACUGAAGAACCUGAAAAACAAGUAUAAAAGAGGAGUGAGCUACCACGGCUCAGUGAGUAACACAUUUCUUCUAAGCGGAUCAAGAAAUCACUAUGCACAUUUUAAAACACAAAUAUAACCCACUUUAUCAUAAUAUCAAAUCAUAACUCGAGUACCAAAAAUACCAAUGGUCGAGUCGAUUAGUCAAUCUCGUAAAACAUACAUCAAUGGUCUAUUCCAUUAAUUAAUCUCAUCAAAUCACAUCGAUGGUCCAUUCCAUCGACCAAACUCAAAUCACACGUCAAUGGUCCACUCCAUUGACCAAUUCAUGCUCAAAUGUCUAACCAUGGUCACACGUAACGCCCGUGACAAAACGACCAAGAUUCCCCCCUUGGCAAGGUCUCCACAUAUUAUUAGCCGGUGGCUCGGCCCACAAGGAUAUCCUAGAAUAGUAUGCGCAUACCCACACACCCCUCAGGGUCCACAGUGACAUUGAGCACCAACCAUCAAUAACAAUAUCCAGUAAUCCAACAUCGAAAAGAGAAUCAUGCCACAACUCAAAUUUGAUAUAUAAAUAUCAAGCAUUCUCCAAAACAUUUCAAGAUUCUUUCACAAAGAUUUUCACAAAUCAUUUUUCAAACAACCAUUCAAAUCAACGUCAAAAUAUAACUCAUUUUGAACAACAAAAAAUGUUAGUAAUAGCUUGAUCCUGUUUAAUGCAACAAAAUAUGCUUUUUAUCAAAUCAUGGAAUAUAUAAUCCACCACGUUUCUCAAAACAUGAGUUUAAAAUACAAAGAAGAAAUAAUGUCACUCACCUGGGAAAAGCCAAAAAUCAACUACGACGUUCACACGAACCGACGCAUUCGGAUUCCUAACAAUUAAUGGAAAAAUAUCAAAAAGCCGAGUAAAAAAAUGAUAUUCUUAUAAAGACUCGCCUAUACUAGGCCUAUGAGUCGAUAAACGACACCUACGCGCCCCAAAAGCUCACAAUUUACCACAAACCCAUCAUUUUCAGCUAGGCGCGGCCCAUGCGCCCACUUCGUCACGCCAUAACUUCCUCUACAAAAUUCCGUUUCAAGCCGUCUUAUAGUCGUUAGAAAGCUCUCUUAACGUACAACAACAACCCCAACUCAGCCGCCCCAAAAUAGUACCGAAAACAACAACAACAAAAAAAAGAGACUCGAAGCCACUGUUCGCUACAGUACCAGAUUGCGCCUCCAACUUCAAAAUUCCGUUCCGAACAAACCGCAAGCUCAAAUCAUGAUCCGAAAGAUGUUAUAGCUUCACAACAUCCCAAAGUACCAUUUCUAAAAAAAUUUACAGCUUAACGACUCAAAAAUUGGGCUUCACCACACAAAUACCCAAGAAAUCUGAAUUUCGAGCCCUAAUUGCGACAAUUGCUUCAAGCAAGUGAUUAAAGGCUUCAAUUUCUUACCGGCCUUGCAAAACACACUUGAGUCGGCUUGAUGAGGUGUCCGGGUCACGAGCGCGCCAAAAUUUUUCCCUUUUUCCCUUUUUCCUUUCUCUUCUUUCUCUCUUCUCCCCUGUUUCAUUCGUUCCCCUGUUUCUGCCCGUGCUCCUCUUUCUCUCCAUCUUUCUCUCUUUUUAAAGCCCAACCGAAGGUUCUUCCACUUUCCUUCAGCCUCCCUUUUUUGACUUUUCAACCUUUUCUUUUUCUCUUCUUUUAUUUUAUUUCCUUACUUUAAAGCUCAUAUAUUACAUUCUCCCCUCCUUAAAAAAAAUUUCGUCCUCGAAAUUUACAAGCACCUCAUUCGUGAAACAAGUGAGGGUAUUUGUGCCUUGCCUCUUCCUCGAGUUCCCAAGUGGCCUCUCUCUCUGUGUGAUUCUGCCAUUGGAUCUUCACAUAAGGAAUAGUGCAUCGUCGCAACACCUGAUCCUUCUUAUUGAUAAUACGAAUGGGCUGCUCUUCGUACGUUAAGUUUUCUCUCAACUUCAAUGGUGUAAAAUCCAAUACGUGAUCAGGAUUUGGCACAUAUUUCCGUAAUAAGGAUACAUGAAACACAUUAUGGACUCCAGAUAAUGUUGGAGGUAAAGCUAGCUUAUAAGCAACUUCACCAAUCUUUUCUAAUAUCAAAAAUAGUCCCAUGUACCUUGGACUUAAUUUACCACGCGUGUCAAAUCUCAUGACGCCCUUCAUAGGAGAAACCUUCAAGAACACAUGGUCUCCUACAUUAAAUUCUACUUUGCGCCUCUUAAGGUCCGCAUAACUUUUCUGACGGCUUUGAGCUGUUUUCAAACGCUCUCGAAUGAGUCUGAUUUUCUCUUCUGAUUGUUGUAUGAAUUCAGGGCCGGUUAAUCUUUUCUCACCAACAUCAUCCCAACAAACAGGAGUCCUACAUUUACGCCCAUACAAAGCUUCAAAAGGAGCCAUUUUAAUACUAGAAUGAUAACUGUUGUUAUAAGAAAACUCUGCCAAAUGUAAAUGUUCAUCCCACGAACCACCAAAGUCAAUAACGCAAGAUCGUAGCAUAUCUUCUAAUGUUUGAAUAGUUCUUUCUGACUGGCCAUCCGUUUGUGGAUGAAAAGAUGUGCUAAAGUUGAGUUGAGUACCUAACGCCCCUUGUAAACUCUUCCAAAAGUUGGACACAAACUUGGGAUCUCUAUCGGAAACAAUACUCACUGGAACUCCAUGAAGUCUCACUAUCUCAUUGAUGUAUCGCUUCGCCAUGUCUUCAAGUGAAAAACCGAAUCGAUAAGACAAAAAGUGUGCAGAUUUAGUCAAUCAAUCAACAAUCACCCAUAUGGCAUUCUUACCAUUAGGCGUCCUCGGUAAGCCGACGAUGAAAUCCAUGGUAAUAUGUUCCCACUUCCAUUUAGGUACUUCAAGUGGGUGUAGCUGGCCACCUGGUUUCUGAUGCUCAACUUUCACUUGCUGGCAAAUUAGAUAUUGAUCGACAAACUUCACAAUAUCUUUCUUCAUAUUGAUCCACCAAAAAUUUCCUCUCAAAUCCCUGUACAUCUUGGUGCUUCCUGGAUGAAUCGAGAAUCUAGUGCUAUGAGCUUCUUGUAGUAUCUCAUUUUUCAAUUCUGAAUCAUUAGGAACACAUAAUCGACCAUGAAACCUCAAUGACCCAUCUACAUGGAUACUGAAGUCAUCUUGUUUCCCAGCUUCUACACCUUCUUUAAUCUUCUUCAGUUGCGGAUCUUCAUUUUGUUUAGCCUUGAUUCUGUCAAUCAAUGUCGGUUGUACUCGAAGAUUAGCCAAUUGAACACCAAGCCGAUGGACCAAAACCUCCAGGUCCAGCUUUCUCAUAUCUUCAAGAAUAGGAUUUUGAGAAGUGAGCAAUGCUGCCAUAUUUCCAGAGGAUUUGCGACUCAAGGCAUCGGCUACCACGUUAGCUUUACCUGGAUGGUAAUUGAUGGAUAAAUCAUAAUCCUUCAGAAGUUCUAGCCAUCUCCUCUGCCUCAUGUUAAGUUCUUUUUGAGUAAAAAUAUAUUUCAAACUCUUGUGAUCGGUAAAGACUUCACAUUUUUCACCAUACAAGUAGUGCCGCCAUAUUUUUAAUGCAAACACAACCGCCGCCAACUCUAGAUCGUGAGUAGGAUAGUUCUUCUCAUGAGUCUUCAACUGUCUAGAGGCAUAUGCCACAACUUUACCAUCUUGCAUAAGAACACAACCUAAACCUUCCUUAGAUGCAUCGCAAUAAAUUGUAAAGCCACCAAUUCCUGAAGGCAAAGUUAAUAUAGGAGCUGACACCAAUCGCCUCUUCAACUCUUGGAAACUGCGCUCACAUUGAUCUGACCAUACAAAUUUAACUCCCUUCUGAGUUAAGCGAGUAAGUGGACUGGCAAUUUUAGAAAACCCUUCUAUAAAUCUCCUGUAAUAACCUGCUAGCCCAAGAAAACUUCUCACCUCCGUGACAUUGGUAGGGCGCUUCCAUUGAACAACUGCUUCAACUUUCUUUGGAUCAACUGAGAUACCAUCAUUUGAUAUUACAUGACCCAAGAAUUCUAUAUGAUCAAGCCAGAAGGCGCACUUACUAAAUUUAGCAUACAACUUCUUUUCACGCAAAGUUUGUAAAACAACUCUCAAGUGUUGUUCAUGUUCUCCCAAACUCCUCGAAUACACCAAAAUAUCAUUGAUGAAUACCACAAUAAAUCUGUCAAGAAAUUGCCUGAAUACCCUGUUCAUCAAAUCCAUGAAAGCCGCAGGUGCAUUCGUUAACCCAAAAGGCAUGACAAGGAAUUCAUAAUGCCCAUACCUUGUUCUGAAAGCGGUCUUUGGCACAUCAUCAACUUUUAUCUUCAACUGAUGAUACCCAGAACGGAGGUCGAUCUUAGAAAAUACUUGAGCCCCUUGAAGUUGAUCAAAUAAAUCAUCUAUCCGAGGUAAAGGAUAUUUAUUUUUGAUCGUCACCUUGUUAAGUUCUCGAUAAUCUAUGCAAAGGCGCAUACUACCGUCUUUCUUCUUCACAAAUAGAACAGGAGCUCCCCAAGGCGAUACACUAGGCCUAAUAAAACCCUUAUCCAAAAGCUCUUGCAGUUGAGUCUUCAAUUCACUCAAUUCAGAAGGUGCCAUCCGAUAUGGGGUCUUAGAGAUGGGUGUUGUACCAGGCAUUAAAUCGAUGCAAAACUCUAUCUCUCUAUCAGGAGGCAAGCCAGGCAAAUCUUCAGGAAAUACAUCAGGAAAUUCUCUGACAACAUGAACAUUUUCUAGCUUUACCGGCUCCUUACUUGUAUCUUUUACACAAGCCAAAUAACCAUAACAACCAUUUCUCAAAAGCUUUCUUGCUCGCAUAGCUGAAAUUAACCUUGGAAAAGUGCCUUUAUAACUCCCCAAGAAAGAAAAUUCUGGUUGAUUUGGAGGUCGAAAAAUAACUUUCUUUGAAUAACAAUCAACAGUGGCAUGAUAUUUUGAUAACCAAUCCAUCCCUAGAAUAAUAUCGAAAUCUCGUAUAUCUAACUCCACCAAAUCCACAAGCAAUGGUACAUCAUCAAUUCGCAACAAACAAUUCUUGAACACACGAUUAGCAAUCAAGAAAUCACCAGUGGGAGUAUCGAUACACAAUUCAUAAUUUAGAAGCUCAGGCAACAUAUCAAGUUUCCUUGCAAAGUCAAUGGAAGUAAAGGAAUGCGUGGCACCGGGAUCAAACAAUGCAUAAGCAAGUUGUGAGGCAAUAGAAAUAUUACCUGCAACAACUAUAUUAGAAGCCGCCACAUCCUCUCCUGUCAUCGUAAAAACUUUCCCAGUCAUCCUUUGCCUUUGCUGGCCUUCUUGUGGCUUAUCAACUGGAGGUGCGAUCUUCCUCAUAGAACAAGUAUAGGCUCGAUGUCCAGGUUGUCUACAUACAAAACAUACUCUACUAUCUCCAGGGGCAUUCUUCUGUGUUGGACAAUCGCGUGCCAUAUGUCCCAUUUUUCCACAAGUGAAACAUGCUCCUCUCUUGCGGUAACAAGGACCGCUAUGUCGUUUCCCACAUGUAGUACAAGGGCCUAGAUUAUUCUGAAUUCUGGGCUUUCCUGGCUGAUUAAAAACUUUCCUCUUUCCGCUGCCACCGGCGCCGCUAUCCUGAUAGUCAGUGAAUCUCAACUUCUUAUGCUGAGGUACGCCUUGCACAUCUCGCUCCAGAAUCUUUUGUUCCACUCUGAUCGCUCGUUCCAGCACGUCUUUAUAAGAUGUCAAUGCUAGAGGUGUGAGUGCCGAACCAAUUUCAUACCGGAGCCCCCUCUGAAAGUGAUCAGCUUUAUCUUGUUCAUUAGAUACAUAUUGCUCAGCAAAUCUACUCAUCUGAUUAAAGCGGGCCGCAUACUCCAAAACCGUGGAGACGCCUUGAGAUAUGUGUAUAAAAUCACUCUUCAUUUUUGUCUGAAAUGACACUGGAAAGAAUUGGGCGUUGAAAGCCUGCUUAAAGUCCUCCCAAGCUAUAGCACCACCCCUAUCUCCGAGAGCUGGCCUCAUUCCCUCCCACCAAUGCUCUGCCUCGCCUUCUAAGUAUCGAGAAGCAAAAAUAACCUUCUUAUCUUCGGGAACACCUUCAGCUUCAAAGAUCCCUUCAAUCUUUCUAGUCCACUGCUCAGCUGCAAGAGGAUCAGCUUUCCCAUCAUAAGGGGGUGGUUUCGCCUUUCUGAAUUGCACAAAGGUGUAUGAGCCAGUUGCUCCAUCUCCACUUAAUUCCUUUGCUUGACGAUACCAAUGAAUCAUAGCUUGCUCAAAGUCACUCGGGGGAAACGACCGUUGGUUAACUUCCCUGACUUCAUGCGAGCUAGGACUUUCAUCACGCCGAUCCUCCCGUCUCCUCCUUAGAGACACACCUCGAGAAGCUUGAGGCGUGUCUCUAGCAUCAGGGGCUACAACUUGCUUGCCUUUACUAUUUCUACGAAGCGAAGCAAGUGUCUCCGAGUCACGCAUGAUCACCUGAAUCCAAUAACGAAGCUACAACUUAAUAUCUAAAAGGCUAACACAUUAAAACAAUCUAUCACACAAUCUCACAUCGUCCCAUAUCUACCCAAAAAUCAAAACCUAAGCUCUGAUACUAAUAAAUGUCACACCCCGAUUCACAAGAAGAAGGGGCAUGACACGGCCGUCCUUUUUCCCAAAGGACGCAGCCUCAACGUAACCAAAAUUCAACCCGAUAUCAACAUAUAUACAUCCACAUAUAUAUAUUUGACAAAAAGGGGCACUUGGUUACAAAAUCUAUAUCAGAGUAUAUCUAUAAUCCACAAAAAUUCAAAACAUAAACCUUCUACAAGGACUAACUUAUAAACCUAUUAACUAUGCACAAGUCAUACCAAAAAGUUCCACCACAAAAGUCCUCGCCGAGCGAACGCUCACGCCUACUCACGAAUCGCUGAAGAACCUGAAAAACAAGUAUAAAAGAGGAGUGAGCUACCACGGCUCAGUGAGUAACACAUUUCUUCUAAGCGGAUUGAGAAAUCACUAUGCACAUUUUAAAACACAAAUAUAACCCACUUUAUCAUAAUAUCAAAUCAUAACUCGAGUACCAAAAAUACCAAUGGUCGAGUCCAUUAGUCAAUCUCGUAAAACAUGCAUCAAUGGUCUAUUCCAUUGAUUAAUCUCAUCAAAUCACAUCGAUGGUCCAUUCCAUCGACCAAACUCAAAUCACACGUCAAUGGUCCACUCCAUUGACCAAUUCAUGCUCAAAUGUCUAACCAUGGUCACGUGUAACGCCCGUGACAAAACGACCAAGAUUCCCCCCUUGGCAAGGUCUCCACAUAUUAUUAGCUGGUGGCUCGACCCACAAGGAUAUCCUAGAAUAGUAUGCGCAUACCCACACACCCCUCAGGGUCCACAGUGACAUUGAGCACCAACCAUCAAUAACAAUAUCCAAUAAUCCAACAUCAAAAAGAGAAUCAUGCCACAACUCAAAUUUGAUAUAUAAAUAUCAAGCAUUCUUCAAAACAUUUCAAGAUUCUUUCGCAAAGAUUUUCACAAAUCAUUUUUCAAACAACCAUUCAAAUCAACGUCAAAAUAUAACUCAUUUUGAACAACAAAAAAUGUUAGUAAUAGCUCGAUCCUGUUUAAUGCAACAAAAUAUGCUUUUUAUCAAAUCAUGGAAUAUAUAAUCCACCACGUUUCUCAAAACAUGAGUUUAAAAUACAAAGAAGAAAUAGUGUCACUCACCUGGGAAAAGCCAAAAAUCAACUACGACGCUCACACGAACCGACGCAUUCGGAUUCCUAACAAUUAAUGGAAAAAUAUCAAAAAGCCGAGUAAAAAAAUGAUAUUCUUAUAAAGACUCGCCUAUACUAGGCCUAUGAGUCGAUAAAUAACACCUACGCGCCCCAAAAGCUCACAAUUACCACAAACCCAUCAUUUUCAGCUAGGCGCGGCCCAUGCGCCCACUUCGUCACGCCAUAACUUCCUCCACAAAAUUCCGUUUCAAGCCGUCUUAUAGUCGUUAGAAAGCUCUCUUAACGUACAACAACAACCCUAACUAAGCCGUCCCAAAAUAGUACCGAAAACAACAACAACAACAAAAAAGAGACUCGAAGCCACUGUUCGCUACAGUACCAGAUUGGGCCUCCAACUUCAAAAUUCUGUUCCGAACAAACUGCAAGCUCAAAUCACGAUCCGAAAGAUGCUAUAGCUUCACAACAUCCCAAAGUACCAUUUCUAAAAAAAUUUACAGCUUAACGACUCAAAAAUUGGGCUUCGCCACACAAAUACCCAAAAAAUCCGAAUUUCGAGCCCUAAUUGCGGCAAUUGCUUCAAGCAAGUGAUUAAAGGCUUCAAUUUCUUACCGGCCUUGCAAAACACACUUGAGUCGGCUUGAUGAGGCGUCCGGGUCACGAGCGCGCCAAAAUUUUUCCCUUUUUCCCUUUUUCCUUUCUCUUCUUUCUCUCUUCUCCCCUGUUUCUUUCGUUCCCCUGUUUCUGCCCGUGCUCCUCUUUCUCUCCAUCUUUCUCUCUUUUUAAAGCCCAACCGAAGGUUCUUCCACUUUCCUUCAGCCACCCUUUUUUGACUUUUCAACCUUUUCUUUUUCUCUUCUUUUAUUUUAUUUCCUUACUUUAAAGCCCAUAUAUUACACAUAUAACACAGAAAGAUGUCGUUUCGCAUGGCGCUGGCCAUUGCGUAAUUCUCAUACAGUUUAGGGAUGAUGCUUUUGAUAACUGAAAACAGAUCAUAGUCUUUUGAUGUCAUUUGUGCGAGAUCCCUAGUCUGGCCCAAAAUAGCAGUGUCGUUGCUGGGAGUUCUUUGAAAUCCGCAUUGAGUGACUAUCUAUGCCUGUUGAACCUGGCCUGUGCAACUAGUGAAUGUCACAUAUGAAAUCAAAAGUCAAAUGACUCAUAUCGGACUUGCCGCUUUUGCUAGGGAAUCAUGGUAGUUCCAAGAAGCUUUUCUUUGCGUAGACCAUUUCAGACUGUCUAUUUGAGUACAAUACUAUGUUUGUCUAUUCAAGUAUAGAGAAUCAAAAAAUAAGAAACGCAAGAAGGCCAAUGAUAAGGACGGCAUUGAAUUUCCUGGACAUGAGAAGGUCACAUUUAGAGAGGUUGUUGAAGAUCUGCCCAAAUUGGCUGUAAUCCCUGAAGUAGUGUUCUAUGUUUCGCUGGCCAAUUAACUAAUGCUGCAGAUUUUGAAAAUAGUUGUUUCAUUCCCUCCUGCCCAUUUGAUUCUUUUCAUUUUGUCUUGGGUGAGGGCAUUGCAGAUCCUGCAAAAUGCAUCUCAACGGAGACUUCGUUUACAGGCUAUUGUACAGAAAUUGCCAAGGCUGGGCAGCUAGGCCCAGUGGCCUACUUCCUUCAACGUUAGGUUCUUCAUUAUCAUUUUCAUGGUGACCUUCUUUCGAACAAUAUUUUGGCCAAUUUCUGAUGGUAUUCUGUAUUUUACCUUUAUGAUUAUUGUAGUGUUAGUUUUGAGAUAUCUAUUUUUUGUUGUAGGAUAUCUCAUUUCUUUUGUGGCAGGAGGAGAAUCAUUCUUCUUUCCCUUAUUUUUGUGAUAGUUUAGACAUUUAAGCAAGUGAUUUACAUGAGAGGAAAACUUGUUCUUGGUAUAGAGAAUUAUGAAUAAGUCCAGCUCAGCCGAAGUCAAUCAGCCGAUUAUCAUAUUGGUAUGUCAAUGACAUCAUGAAGUGUGGGAUUGCUGAUUGUUAGAUGAGCUUGAAAACCAUUUUAGGGACAUAUCAGCUUGUUAGCCUCUCAGAGGCUUUAUGAGAAUAAGAUAAUAAUAGCAUUGUCGCAAAGCCUGACAAAUUUAUAACGUCAAAUAAUGUACAGAAUUCAAGUAUGCAUCACUUUACCAUUCCAGCAUUUACAUGCAACGGUAAGAUCUUGCAGCACACAUGCUUACUUAUUAGCGAAAACCACUAGCAUCCAACAUUAGAAAUCCAUACUCAAUGAUAGUCCUGCUCUUAUGUAGCCAAUCUGGGAACAGCACAAAGAUGUAAGCCAUUGUCGAUGUGAAGGUUGAACAUGACAUUUUAGGUUACAGGUCUAGUUUCAUCAGCUAAUCUAAAACAGAAGAAGUGAAGGAGAGCUAUUGAAACUAUUUUCAACUGGCGAUAGGCGAAAUCCUUCCCGAGGCAGAUUCUAGGACCAGCCUGCAAAUAGGAAAGUAAGAUUGUCACUUGAAGAUGCUUGGAAUAUUUAUACACGCUUCAAAUACUCAAUUCAGGAGGACUUAGGAUGGAGAAACAAACAUGGAAGGCAACAAAUUUGAAAGGAGAUUCAUUUUGGAAAAUUCCAUCCUUCAACCAUCUUUCAGGUGGAAGCCAUUUGGGAGAACAUCAUUUAUCUCAGCACAUCUUCCAUCCCGUUCUGCAGAAUUGCAAAAGAUCAAAGUUUGCAUGUACUGAUACAGAAGCCGAAACUUGUUAAAUGCAUAUUCUCUUUGGCUUGUGCUUGAUUUGUACUUGCCAAUCCGAUGGAUUUGAUUGUUACUGAUCAUCUCUGGUUCAAAAGAAUAUCAACUCUUUUGUGUGGCAUUUUACAUCUGAAUACAAAUUAAGGACUAGUUGCAUGAUCAUAAAGCAGUCAGAAGCGUAGCACUAGAAUUUGUUCCAGAAUUUAGAGAUGAAUAAAAAGCUAGCAUUUGAUCUGAGGGAAAAACGUGACCUGUAUAGUUGUUUAAAGCAAACGAUAGGAUUCCCGAACAUGCACUUAACUAAAAUUUUUAGUCUGUCAUAAAUACACUGCAAUGAUGCAUCAUAGCCUCUGAAAGUCAGGAUAAUUGUAUGUCUUAGAUUUUUGUCAUGCAAGGCCAGUAGUAAUUUAUUUUGAUAAUUUAUUUUAGAUAUGCAGUACUUAUGGUCGAUUCCAUUCGACUUAUCUUUCUUUCACAGUGGUUUUGAUCCUUGAAACUACUCACUUGCAUAUCGAAUACCUCAGAAGCGGCGGAUAAUUCCUCCACGACCUUGACCAGCUUCGCAGCAUUCUUCCUGAACACAGAGCAGCUAAAAUCUCUGAGCACCCUCGUUGCAAACUCAAAGCUUGCGACCUUCCUCUGCUUCUUCCACUUGUCUCCGUCCACCGCGAAAAUCCCCUCCCCAAACAAGUCCUUGACUAUAUCUAUGUUAUACUCUCCCUCGGUGUACUCAUCGAACUUGGUCUUCAAUAUAUGCUCGACGUUCCUUGGAUUGACCGUGUAAAUCUCACUCUGGUAUGGCGCGAGGAGCCGGAAUGUCGGGGAUCUCCUUGCGACUCUGUUUUGGUAGUCAUAGAGCCGGUUGAAGUAGACGAAUUGACUGAAGACAGUCCCGUGAACGGGCGGAUACUUAGAGCUUCGGAGGGACUUGUCGGUGAAGGUUUUCAGGAGGAAUGCAAGGCGAUGGAGAGAGCAACUGUAAUGAGCGCCGUGGAGUAGAGAGCAUCGAAGACGCGAUGCUGAUGUCCAUUUUUAAUUUUUUGGUGAAGAAGAUGGAAGGUAAUGAGGAUGAUGAUCAAUUAGAUAUCCUAGCCUAGGUUUAUGUCUCAAGGGUCUUGACUUUGUCCAUUUGUUUACUUAGCAUUUAUAGGUUUUAAUAAUGUGGAAGGAGAGUAAAUUAAUGUUUGUGAUUGAGAUGUGCUUAGGUGUUAAGUAGAGAUUAUGCGUAGGAAUUGAUGUGCAAGUGGAGAAAUCGAGAAGUCAGGAGGCUCGCCACUCUUUUGGCUCCAAGUUGCUUGAUAAAUGAGAUCAUGAGAGACGAAGUUAUAUUAAUCAUGAUGAAGGGAAGCUUCUGUUAUCGUAAACAAAAGUAUAGGAAUACAAUAAAUCAUGAAAUCUUUGUUUUCUUUUAUGGAAACUUAACUUGACAUAAAAGCUAUAUGCAUUAUAAUUACGUUUGGGAACCACCGUGAAAUUCUUGGGGAGAGCCUUUACCUCUAGCCUUUACGUAAAUGCAAAAGAAUAUAAGAUUAAACGGUCUUCAUAAAAUGCAAAUGGUUUUAUUUGCUUUAGACUAAGUUUUCCUUAAAGCCAAUUUUGUUGUAAAGGAAGGAGAAUGGAGAGGAUCUAAACCCACUAAUAAAAGCAAUCGGAGCCGGCGAAAGUUGAACCGUCAAAAAGGCCAAGUGAGGGCCAUCAAAGGUAGAUUUGAGGCGAUGUCGGUCAGACUUUAGCUUGCAGCCCACGUUACGCUAUCAGGUCUGCACGGGAAGGUGAGGGUGCGGGUGAGAGUAAAAUUGGAAUUUAGAUAAUUUAGUGAGUGCAAAGUUGAAAAAAUUUAUUAACCUUGAAAGUAGUUUUCUGAAUAUAUAGAAUGUGAAUAAUGGGUGGGAGUUGCACUGAGCUAAACGACUUUGAAAACGCCAUAUUUGGGCUCAAAGGCCUUUGAAAUGUGUCUCCAAACACCUCAAUUUUGGUACAAGAAUCUUUGGAAAAGGUGAACCAAAAGCGAGGAACCUUCCAACAAGAGAGUUAAUUUUCAAGAGUUAUAGCUUAUCAUAGGCAGGAUCAUAUAAGAAUGUGUUUCAACUUCUUAGAUUUCAUUUCUAACUGGGUGAGUAUGAAUCAAUCUAAAGUUGUUGGAAUUAUUUAAAUGAAUGAUAAAUAGUACUCUUUACACACCUCUUUCUCGAGAGAUUCAAGAUUGAAUAAAUAAAAAAUAUAAAUAUAAUCUCAUUCGACGUUGUCUAUAUCUAAUUUUAACUAGGCAUAUUGGGAUAGUGACAAAUGUGUCACAUUCACAUUGUAAGCAUCAGAGACAAAAGCCAACGCGGACAUCCUUUGAUUAAUAGAUGAUUGAGGCUCCAUUCGUUUUAUAAAAUACAACUUUCAAGAAAAUGUUUUUUAUAUUUUCUUUCGUUCAUUUCGCAAAAAAUGAAUUGGUUGGAUAAAAUAUUUUCCAUUAAUGAAAAUAGUCUUCUAAUAUAGGGGAAAAAAAUUUUGCUUUAUCCUCUUUCUUUCAUUUUUAAACCAAGCAUUAUUUUUUUUUUUACCAAACAUCUUUUCUUUUUAUUUUUUUAAAUCAAAUUUUCAGUUAUUUUAAUUUUUUAUUUUUAAUUUUAUUUCUUUCUUUCUUUCCUUCUUCUUGAGCCAAUUGCCAACCACAAUGGCAAUCGACAGCUCGCCACAAGUGAGCUUGAGCCUUGCCUAGUUUGCCGAAUUUGGCAAGGCUGGAGCUUGUUGGCUACAAACGAGCUCAACCUCAUUGGAUCAAGUAGGGCUUGAAAUUGCUGGUAUCUAGCAAGCUAGAGCCUUGUUGACCUAUGGUGAGGCUCAAACUUGGUCGUAGCGGGUUGUUGGUUGUCACCGUGGUUGGUGCGGAAGAAGUAAAAAACGAAAGGAAGGCAAAAAUAAAAUAAAAAUAAAAUAAUUAAAAAUUGAUUUUAAAAAAUAAAAUAAAAGAAAAUUUAUUGAAAGGAGUGCAAGGUGAAAAAAAUUUCCUUAACAAAUGGUAGAAAAUAUUUUUCCCUUCGUGUCAAGUUCAGCCGAAUAUAAAAAAAUAUGAUUAUUUUCUUAGAAAACGACUUUUUUAAAAUGCUACAUUUUUUUGCAAAACAAAUGAAGCCUUAGAGAGCUAAAUAAAAAACCAAGAAUCGGCGGUUCCAAUGCGGCACAUGAAUGUCAUAGGACAAACUUUGUUGCUCACCUUUUCUUCACCAUGCCCAAAAGGGCCAUCAAAACCGACCGUCGACCGAGGGGUGACAUAAAAAGCAAUUAGAAAGUAUGGGGGUCAAUCUCAAAUGAAUGAAACAUUGGGGACCAUGGCCGGAAUUACACGUAAAACACAGGACCAAGAAUCAAUUCUCUCAUUUUUCAGAGAGAGAGAAAGAGAGCGACGGCGGGAAAAGGGAGGAGGCGGAGAGAGGAGAACGACACGGCGGCUCACGGUGGGGCCACCGCCCUCCCUCCUCCACCCCGACGCCUCCCAGGCCGACGACGCAUUGCCUUUCCAAACUUCUCAUCUCCUUCACUCCUUCUCGACCUCCGAGUGUGGCAUGCGAUUUUCCGCAUCAUGGAUGGCGCCUUGAUUGACUUCAGUCUCUAUGUUUCGUCAACACCCUUUUCAAGCUAGUGAUGAUGGUAGUAUGUACACACUCGAGAUCGUCAUUUCGGCGAACAUGAUGAAAUGUGUGGCUCGUACCGGCAGGAGGUCGUUCUGCUACUUCUGUUGGGAGAUCCAUUCUUGUAAUGUCUAAAGCAAGAACAAGAGAUUGAGUUCUAGAAUGACAGAAGGUUCAGUGAAGCAAUGUACUUGCGCUGGAACCCGUCAUGGUAUAAUUACAGCAUUCAGAGAAAGUGGUCGUUUUCGCUUGGCAUUGGCCAUUAGGUAAUUCUCCUACAGUAUAGGAAUCACGGUCGGAAAAGGGGUAUGUUGGAAUCAAUUGCUGUCAUUUUAGACACAGAUUUCUGCUUUAGUAAAAGUGAAACUUUUUGGAACUACAGGAGAUAAAAGUAUUUCAAUGUCGUUUAUGUGAGAUCCCUAGUCUUGCCCAAAAUAGCAUUCUCUUUGCCGUGAGUUCUGCAAAAUCUGCGAGCAGUAACAAUCUGUACCCGUAGAAUCGGGCCUGUGCAUGUAGUGAAUAUGUGGGAUGGAAUCCACAGUCAAAUAUGCAAGAGCUAGUAGAUACAUGGCAGGGAGUCAUGGUAGUUCCAAGGUGAUCUUUUUUGCAUUUACCUCAUCCAGACUGUCUUUCUGAGUGUCAUCUUAGAUUUGUCUAUUUAGGCAUAGAGAAUCAAGGAAAAAGAAACACAAGAAGGCCAGUGCUGAGAAUGGCAUGAACUUUCCCGGAGAUGAGAAGGUCAAAUUUGGAGAGGUUGUCGAAGCUCUUGCCCGAGUUGGCCGUGAUUCCUAAAGUAGUGUUCCAUGUUUUGCUGGUCAAUCGACUAAUAGUGCAGAUUCCGAAACUAUUUGUUUCAUUCCCCCUUACCCAUUUAAUUUGUUUCAUUUCAUUUGGGUGAAGGCAUUGAAGACCCCGCAAAAUGCAUCCCAACAGCAACUUUGUUUACUGGCAAUUGAGGCAUACCGAAUCGCAAAGGAUGGACAGUCAGGUCCAGGCUCCAGCAGCCAACUUCCUUUGACAAUAGCUUCUUCAUUAUGAUCGUGACCUUCUUUAGAACACUACUUUGGCCAUAUAUUUUAAAGCAAGUCAUUCUGUAUUAGUUUUGAGAGAUCUACUUUUUGUCAUAGGAUGUCUCAUUUCUUUCAUCACGGGAGGAAAACCAUUCUUCUUUCCCUAAAUUUGUGAUGGUUUAGACAUUUAACCAAGUGCUUACUUUACAUAACAGCAAAACCUGUUCUCAGUAUGUAUUCUUAUGAAUAGGUCCAGCUCAGCCGAAGCCAAUUAGCUGAUUAUCAGAUUGGUAUGUCAAUGAUAUAAUGAAUUGCUGGAUGGCUGAUUAUUGGAUGAGCUUGAAAACCAUUUUUAGUUCUAGGGACAUAUCAGCUUGUUAGCCCCUCAGAGGCUUUACGAAAAUAAGAUUUUAUUGGCAUUAUCACAAAGCCUGACGAACUUAUAUUACAUAUGGAAUAUAAGCAAAACACAUCAAUGUUCCAGUCAUUAAAUGCAAUAGUAAGAUGAUGCAGUGCGCAUGCUUACUUAUCACUGGAAACUGCUAGCAUCCAACAUUAGAAAUCCAUAUGUCGCGAUGGACCAUACUCAACGAUAGUCCAGCCCUUAUUUAGCCAAUCUGGGAACAGCAUGAAGAGGUAAGCCAUUGUCGAUGUGAAGGGUGAACAUGACCUUGUAGGUUACAGGUCUAGUUUCGUCAGCUAAUCUGAAACGGAAGAAGCGAAGGAGAGCUAUUGAAACUAUUUUCAUCUGGCGGUAAGCGAAAUCCUUCCCGAGGCAGAUCCUAGGACCAGCCUGCAAAUAGGAAAGUAGGAGUGUCACUGGAAAUGCUUGGAAUAUGUACACACACUCUGGAUAUUCAAUUCACGAGGACUGAGGAUAUAGAAACGAACAUGGAAUGCAACAAAUUUGAAAGGUGGUUCAUUUUGGAAAAUUCCAUCCUUCAACCAUCUUUCAGGUUUGAAAUCCUCGGCAUCUUCUCCCCAGAUGUUAUGCAUUCUUCCCAUUGAGUAAGCCAAGUAAUUGAUGUUGUCCCCCUUUUUCACGUGGAAGCCAUCUGGGAGAACAUCAUCUGUCUCAGCACAUCUUCCAUCCUGUUGUGCAGAAGUGUGAAAGAUCAAAGUUAGCAUGUAUUGGUACAAAAGCCAAAGCUUGUUAAAUGUGUGUUCUCUUUGGCUUGUGCUUGCUUUGUAAUUGCCAAUCUGAUGGGAUUUCUAGCAUCUGCUGGAUUGCUGAUCUUGUUUUGUUCAGAAGAAUAUUGACUCUUUGGCAUGGCAUUUGACAUUUGAACACGAAUUAAGGACUAGUUGCAAGAUCGCAAUGCAGUCGGGGUAACACUAGUAUCUGUUCAUGAAUUUAGAGAUGAAUGAAAAGCUAGCAUCUGAUUUUUGAUGAAAAAAUGUGACCUGUAUAGUUGAUUAAUGGAAAUGAAAGGAUUCCUGGGCGUGCACUUAAGAAAAUUUUUUAGUCUAUCAUAGAUACACUUGGAUGAUGCAUCGUAGCUUCUAAAGUCAGGAAAAUUGUGAUGUCUUGUGGUGCCACUCCAAUGGCAAUUUACUCAGACCCAUUAUGAUUAUCUCUCUCCUAGCUCUAAUGUUCUGCUGAUGAAUUAAUUUGAGUUCAUAAUAUCUCGAGUUAAUUUUGAACUUUUGUCUUCUUUUUCUGUGAUCAGUUAGGGGUUUGAACUCCAAUUCGUACAAGUGAACAGUAAAUUACCAGCGGGACUGCAGGAUACAGCCUCAAAGUCUCUGUAAGUGUGGCAUGAAGGUAGUGCAUUCGACCAAGCACCGGAUCAGUAAUUCUUUCCACGAAUUCAUCUGGGUUAGCUUCACUUGCCUGAUCUCCAGUCACUUCCUUUAUUUCAUCGACAAUCUUUUGCUGCACCAGGGGGUUUUUACAGAGCAUGUAGAGGAACCAUGAUAAGGUACUUGCACUAGUAUCUUUUCCCGCAAUCAUGAAAUUCAGAAUUAUAUCCCUCAAGUACU